CCUCGCCUCGCCGCCCGCGGGGCGGUGCUGUGCGGCGGCAGCCGGUCGGGGAAGCAAAGCGGUUCUCCCCGCCGCCGCACCGCCUGGUUCCCCCGUGCUCCGGAGGGCUGCGGGUGGGAAGCGCGCUGAGGUCGCUUGUAUAUACCGGGCUUGCUUGUGUGUGUGUCCGUCCCGCCUUUCCACCCCGAUAUCUUCACCCCCACCCCCCUCUAACCCCCCCCGGCGAGGAGUAAGUGCCACCGCUCCGCCUUCUCCUUUUCGCAAUGUUGACGCAAUCUAUAAAUAGUGGAACAAAAGGACCAACUUCCUCGCAGCUUUGCUGAAACUGCACAAAAAAAGGCAACCGAGUGGGGGGUGGGCUGGUUAUUUUUUGAUUUUAUUUUUCUCCGGUUAAAAGGCGAAUCCUCCCUCCUCCCCUCUCACACACGCGCUACUGGAAGAUUAUUUGUAUUUUUUUUUUUCCUCGCUGUCUCCUGUGCUGGCAACGUCCUGCGAGUGGCUAUUUUGCUUUUGCACCGAAAGAAGGGCUUUCCUCCCCUCCUCUUCUGACAUCGGAUCGGUGCAAGCGCAGGCAGUUACUGGCCGGAGGGAGAAUUACAUCAUCCCUGCUCCAGUGAUGCUACCUUUCGUGCCGCUACCAUGCGCGCAGGGAAACAAGCGGGGGCGCGCCUUCCCCCCCCGGAUCGGGCUUACGCCAGGGGGUUGGGGGGGGGAGGCGCGCCCCCGCGACACUCAUACACAUACACGCCCGCCCGAGUGUUUACAGCGCUCACACAGGCGUAUUGUGACGUCUCCUGAGUGACAGCCCGCCACGCCAACGGGGGGUGGCGCGGCCCCCGACGCCAAGGCAGGACGCGGGAGCCCCGCCCGCAUUUCCCCCCCCCUCCACGGGGACCGGAGCCGUGAACAUGGGGGGGUUGGGGAGCCGAGCCCAAGACGGAACACCUCAACAGUUAAAUCAAAUGUACACUCUCUAGUAUUGGGCUGGUUUACAUGAUGCCGAUUAAUUUGCGUUUAUGACGUUUUAUGACGUUUUAAGCGAAUACUGUACACUCGAGGAGCGAUUUCUUGUGAGAGAGGCGAGCUUGUAAGCGAGGUGUACUUGUAAGAGUGGGAUAUCUGUGAAGUUAAACCGCUGUCUUAAGUCUUGGGCACCCGCUUAGGAGCAAGCUGGGACGCGAGGAGCUGGUCUCCUGCCCGGGAAUAUGCCCCUGGUGGGGUUUGGCACAGAGAAAAUGUGAGCAGAGAAGCUGUCCUAGUGAUGGCCUUGAACACUUAAUUGUCCAGAGUGGACAAUAAAAAGCUGGUUUUUUGUCGGUGGUGUUGCUGGGUUUUUUUUUUGUAAUGGGAAAUAGAUUAAAGCGCUGAGGACAAAAAUCUGAAUUUCACAUAUCGUAUGCUUUCUCCAGUGUUACGAGUGUAGUGUUAGAGGGUUAUAAACUUGUUGCAAUAUGCUACUGGGUGGGGGGGGCGGGAAGUGAGGUUUUUUACUCAGUCUGUGAAAAUAUCAAAGUAGUACUUACCCGCUGCAAAGUCAAUAAAUCUGUAUCACACUAAAACCAACAAAAAGUGUUUUACAAACUGAUACUUGUCGAGAAUUGUUUGCCAGAAUGCAGCAGUGUAAAAUUAUUAUUACUAAAACAUCAACAUCUACUCACUGCAAAAUGCAAGUAACCGUGAAGCCCUGUUUAGUAGCACACACAGUUUUUAAUGUGUUAAUGGCCUGGGUUUCUUCAAAGUGUACUACUUUUUGAAGUCUGGGUGUUUCUAUUUGUGCAGAAAAUAGACUGAGAAGCUUUGAGCUCCUACUGUUACAAAAGUUAAAAGGAAACAAAGUUGAGCUGCUAAGUCGGCAGUCUGGAAUGAGUCAAUAGUAUCUCCUUUGUCCUGCUAGCUUUCUCUGCUGUGGUGUAUCUUUGCUCUAUUUCCUCUGCAUAAGCAAAUGAGCAUUUCUGCUCUCAGUAUAUUUAAUAGUUAGAUUUUAUAGCCUCCUGGCUUCUAAAUAUUCUAACCCACCAGUGAUAUUCAAAUGCAUUUGCCUUUCCAGGCUGUACACAACAGUUUUGAUACUGUCAAUGACAGCACGCUCGCUUCUUUAACCACAUAGAUACUUACACAUUUUCCACUAUCUAUAAUUAAUGUGGCAAAUUAUUCAUGCUUUGUUGUAGUAAGCCUUCAUAAGGAACAAAUAUAUAUUUUUUAAAGUAUCCCAUCACUUUUUGGUUUCCCCCCCCAAAAAAGAAAAAAAAAUUGUGACGGAGGCACAAAGGAGAUGUAAAUAACUCCCCUCCUCAUUUACUUGGGGAUUCCCUGGGAGUCUCAGAGGGCAAGGAGGUAACAUAGCUGGCUUUUACACCAGGAUCACAGGUCCUGACACAGGGUCACAGAGAAUCUAUGCUUGGCUAGCCCUGUGCUCCAGUUUUGUUUAGCUGGUAGCUAGUCCCUUGAGGCAUCAAUGUCAACUUCAGCAUGCUGACUUCUACAGGCAAUGGGCUGGCCAGUGACUGGGGGUUGUAACUGGCUCCUGGAGGGCUCCCUAGUUCUGCCGCACUUGGAGCCCAAGUACUGCUGCCAGGCUGAUGCUGCAGCUCUGGAGCUUGUCACAGAAAGGGAUCAAAGUGGCAACUGUAUAAAGCACAUCCCAACACUGUCCGUUUUCUGAAAAUAAAAGGCAAGUAGAUGUAUUCGGUGGGUUGGAAAAGCAGCUUGGGUAGGGACAUGGCUUACAGCCUAAGGCACAAGAACUGGAGCCAAAUCCCAUCACCAUGAGCUAAGUUCCCGUGUACCCCAAACCUGUUUUGCUCUCGAAUUCUGGCCUUGGGAUUGGUAUUAGUUGUUCUGUAGAUCUCUCAUACUCCCAGAGAUCAUAAAUGUUAAUUCAUUAUCCCACAUGUAAAGGUAUUAGUGUUCAGCAAAUAAAACAGGAGCAUACUUUCUCUGUAUUACAUACAUGUCUUAAAUUAAUCCACUCAGGAAGGAGGUACAUAUAUAUAUAUGUGCACACACACAUAUAUAUCUCCUCACAUUAAUAGCCUCUUCUGGUUUAAUAAUCAAAAAGCACUGGAGAAUAGAGUUGGGUUACUAGAGUAUAAAGAAAAGUGAAACUAUACUAACUCACUGGGAGGUUGUAGUUUUUACUUAAUUUUAUGCUACAAUACAAAGGCUCUUUAGGUCUGCAAGACUAAGAUUCUUACUUGUUUGUCUUGUUUUAUAAAACAUAUCUUGUUUAUUAUUGAUUUAUGUAGGCCUGCUUUACUUUUGAUUACCUGAAUUGCAUAAAUGAGUAAUUUAGCAUAUGAUUAUCUGAAUGACCACUCCUUUCCCUUUUCACUCUUGAAAAAGAUUAUCGGUCAGCUGCUUCUGUAGUGUUGUAUCUGUGACCAUUUUGACUCUACUGUUUGGUGUCUGAUACUUUUUAUGUUUUAAAUAUAAUUUUGUACCUCCCCGAGUUCUUUUAAAAAAUGAAGCCUCAUCAUUCCUAAUGACAGCAAGCAGUUUUCUCUGGUGGCCAUAAGGGCCCAUGCUACGAAUUUCUACUGCUUUUGUUCAAAACUUAAAACACUUUUCUAUCUUUUCAGUUGAAAAGGGUGUUGCUAUCUUACAUUUGGAAAUUGGAUGGAUAAAGACAGUAUAGUGGUCCUGGUUCUGCAAGCAGACAGUUCCAGUGUUCCAGCUUUUGCACAGCAGCACUUUAACAAGCAGCAGCCAUGCAUAACUAACAAGACUGCAAGUCCAGUUACUGCUUUUUAGAGGCCUGUACCCAGCUCUUGAGUUAUCUGAAAUGUCCAUUUUAUAUCGUUGGACUCAUAUGACAAAAGUAUUAACAGCAGGAAAGCGCAGGAGGUAUUCACAACGGGGAAGAUACAGGGGGAGGAAAAAAAGUUUUAAAAAAUAAAGCCAGAGGUACAGGAAGAAAGCAGCACAGCUCCAUCUAUCCUUUUAUAGUAACUGGUGUUUUAUGGAAAGUGGGAAAGAAAACUCUCUCUUCCUUCCAGCAGCUAGACAGUAGUGUCAUGACCCUUCUAACUGAAGACUGAUAGCGUACUUGGAGAAAUCUUUAUGCAGGUAUCCCUUCUAGUAUCUGGAAGUGAGAAGUAUUCUUUUCCCCAGUUCCUUCUCUUGAACUUCCUUCUGGAUUCUGAGUCUUAUCCUCUAGCUAUACUGAGGGAUGUCUAAUAGAACUGUUUUAAAGUUUGACAUUAAUGCUUCAUAAAAAGUAAUAUAUUUUUCAGAGUACUUUAAAGUACUGUAGUAGUUUUCAUUAAUAUUUUUUACAUGUACAGUUAACAGUCUCAAUACUAUAUAUGUAUAGAUGAAAUUAGCUCAUGAGGGCAUUACUUUAAAAUGUGUACGUAAUGUGUACACAGGACACACCUAUCACAUUAAAAAAGUGCUCUCAGCAUGGAUUACAGCUGCAAAUAAAUCUCUGAUAAAAGAUGAAUGGAAAUUAGGAAAUCAGCAGUAGUUCAUCAGAUGAGAAUAUGCCCUUUACACUGCACAAAGAAGUACAAAAUAAAUAUGCUGAAGACCAGGCAACACUAGCUGGCAAAACAAUAUUGAAACCACUGUACUUUUUCAGGACUCUUUAAUAUUCUUGUUUCUGGCUGAACAUGGUAUGUGCAUGAACAUCCUUUCUUAUAAAAGAAUAAAUUUCACAAAAAUUCCACUGUAUGACAGUGUACUGAUUGGCUGUCACAACUACUGACUAAAUAUUAAUUUUGGUAGUCUUUCCAAGCUAAAUCUAUGAUCUACUAUAUCUGGAUAGCUUGUAAAUGACUACCAACAAGUGAAACACCAACAAACCAAUCUCCUGACUUGCACAUUGUCUAACCUUGUUUGUAAAGAUUUUUUUAGUAAUUCACUUCAGUUCAUAAAAUUUACUUUUGUUAGUUGGUUAGAGAAAUAUUAGAUAGUCUCUUUUUGAUUUGGAGUUUAUUUCAUUUCAGUUUUACAACACUAAACAGUGCGAUAAACACUGCAUGCUAACUAGAAGGAGCUCCACAUCAGUGCAAUCACUUCAGUAUCGUAACUCCUGCAGACUUUUAUCCCUUACAAGCAAUGAUUUACAUACCAGUGAGGGGAAAUUAAAAUGAAGGGGAAGCUCAUUAUAACUCUGUAAGUGUACUUAGUUUCUGCUAACAUGGACUAGAUUAAACCUGGCCUAUGUCACAAGAACUGUGAAGGGUGAGAGUAAAGGGUCCUUUCUCGUAAUGGUCAUGCACAAUUAAUGCUCUCUUCACUCAUCAGAGAAAAUCAGACCCAAAACGGGAAGGAGGGUCUGCACUACUAUUUUUUCACCUUCACUCCCCACCCCCACCCUUUGAGCUGUAAAGAAAGGAUCAGGUUGCACUAUUUUAAAAGUUGGUGCAGUACGCGCACUCCCUCACUAUAUUGGAGAGGACUAGGAGAAAACCUCUCCCAGAGCUCCCUGCGGGAACGCUUACUGCUUCACAACGUCCCUUACUCAGGGCUGUGCCUCAUCAACAGCCCUGAGCCUUCAAUUAAGCGACGAAAACUUCCCCUGUAAAUGUACAAUAUUUUUAGGGACAUAGCCAAAUAAGAAUAUCAUUGAGCUAACUUACCUUUGACACAUGGUUUUGAAAGCUUCAAGCUUGACACAAGUCAUAAAAAGGAAAUUAUCUCAAUAGCUCAGCACUACAGGUAAAGUAGACCUGCAAAUAAAUGAGAAAAGAAAUUAAGCGACAGCAUCAUUUCCUGAACACACUUAAAUAAACUGGAUUAACGCAUUAAAGAAUAUAAUUGUUAUCUCUUUCAACCCACCAUCUGAGUGUAGAUUACUAGUUACUGUUCCUAUAGACUUCUCAAGUUAAAUCAUACAGCUGAUGUUAAAUCUGUACCAAGGUGGAAGAUGGACGGUGUUUCAGCCAAGGUUUGGAAUGGGUGUUCAAACAAGGCCCGUCAUCCUGUCUUGUACUCAGAAUUUCACCAAUGGCUUUUCGAUUCUAAGAUAGGGACAAUUAAAACUUGAAUCUAAGAGACAAAAUAAUGCUUACAAGACAUCCUAAGGCUACAUAUACUAAGGUUAUAAAAAGUCUAAAAUAACAUAAGAUCUGAAAUAAGUGUUCAGCAACAUUUUCUUUACCUGUGUAUUUAUCUUUUCAAAAUACAAAAUUCACAGUUCCAGAGGCAAGGUGCCUCAUUAGCAGUGCCUACUGAAUGUCAAAAGCCUAAUCCAGCUAGGAAGAUCUCCCUUAAAGGAGUUCUCAUGCUGCAUCAUAAAAGAACCAAAAACUAUGGUGACUGAAAUCCUCGCCAGUUUUCCACACUCUUGACAUGAGCUACAAAGACCCGAUUGGGAAAGGGCACUCACAGCCCCCCAUCUGACCCAGGGAAGGAUCCUUCUGUAGGAAGGGUGGAAGGAAGCCAGAAGCCUCCUCCUGUUGGAAUGGGGGAAGUCUCGCUGUGGAGAUGCUGGGCUGUGAGUCAGUGGCACUCAGGGGCCAGAAGAGCUCUAUCAUUAUGGCAGCAUCUGUCAAGCGGCCCAACGAUGAGAAGGUAUAAAUGCCACUUAAUCUUGCCUCAGCCAUUUCUACCUGAGCUCUGUGACUUUUAAAAAGAACAGAAGCUCAUUCCAGGUGUCAAAAAAAAAAAAAAAAGUUGAGAGCUACAGAUGAAAAGCUGUAUGUUAGAUCUAGGUAUUACUAUUGUAGUUGUUAAUAAUAUACAAUUUCAACACACAGACUGGCAGACAUUUCAAUUUAAAGCAAGAAUUAAAAUAAUGGUAGGUUGAGUCAUAUGACAAAUCUACAAGUAGUAGCAAAACUGUCCUUUUCUCAUGUGCAAGAUUCGUCAUUCUAGAGGGAGAGCCUGCUGGAAAUACAAGGGCACAUGAAAAUGGAGGGAAGGAUAAGAAAAGAAGUUUAAUGGAAGAUGCUGAGUCAGAUGACUGACGUCUUCAUCAAAUAAGAAAGCAGUAUUUUAUUUUCUGAUGCUGUGCAAACAAAUGAAUCAAAGCCCACACAUUCUCCUGCAAACCAUUUCACAAAUAUUCUACCUUUCUAUGCCCCUGAGCUCAGGAGUGACCAUGUACUGACCCCUGACAGAAUCCUGAUGCCUUUUCUUCAAUCCAGCAAGCAUACACCUCUAUAACCACUCAGGUCCAUAUGAGUGCUAUACGUCACAUGCUGCCUCCCCUCCCUUUAUUUUCUUAUAGCAAACUAUACCCCUAAAAACUCUACCAGCUUUUCUUGCACUGAGAAGUUUCUCGAUACUUUUAAGCAAUCAUGUGUUAAGAUAUGCAGAAACAUAUAAAACUAUAAGAUUAUUUCAGGGAGAGAUUCAGCAGUUUUUCAGAAACAAACAAACAAAAAGAAUACUUUAUUUCAUAGAAAAAAGAUCUUUUUCAAUUGAAAGAGGCAUAUGUUUAUAUUAUCACUGAAACUUUUGCCAAAAGGGGAAGAAACAGUAACUGUAGACAGUAGUUCAAAAGGAAGUUCUGUUAUGCUACAGAUCAAAAAAUUCAAGUUCUUACGGUGUAUAAAAUAUGUAAUCAAUGCUGAAAUUCUGUAUUUGCCUUAAAUACUGAGCUGUGAGCGUGAACUGCUCUUUAAUGUGUCCAACAGCCUUAAUGCUGAAACCUACACAAGGAGAUAAUUAGCACAAUAGCCUUCACCAAGCACAAAACUGAGAUAUUCUUUCACUGAAACUUCUCCAGCUCUAACAAAGAUGCCAUUCAAAAAAAAAAAAGGCUUUUCAAAGAUGCUGGACAUAGGCUGAUUCUUGAGUUAAAGACAGACAUCCGCUAGCCAAGAGGAAUAACUCAAACAAAGGAGAGACUUUCAAGUUUCAGACUUUCAAGUUUGAGACCCCUAGUUUGAACUUAUCUCUGUUUUCACACAUCAGUAGGUUCAGUGGAGUUAGAAAUAGCCAGCAUGUGCAAUGAAAACAAUCUCUAUCAGCGGAUACAGCAUGAACAUGAUAACAUAUGUUUUCCAAGCCUAGAGCAAUUGUCAAGCAAUUACUAUUUGUCAAGGCAACACACUUGAUAGUCAGGGUCGCCUAACCCUGGGUCAUCUCCUUCCACCUUAUUCCAAGGCAGACCUCAGGAACUCGGCCGCCCAGUUUUCUUUGAUUUGCUCGGAAGGUAAGUCGCAGGCGCAGUUUUCCCUGGCCGCGGGAGGCAGAGGCAGCGCAAGGGGUGCAGUCGCUGCCCCGGGAUGGUUUGUACAAGCAACAGCUGCUGGGGUUUUGUUCUGAGAUGAAGGAGGGCCCGUGCGGGUCAGAGGGGACUCCUGGACAACUGAUUAUUAACCAAGGCUUUCUAAAGCGCUCGCAAGGCCCAUAUUGUGUUUGUUUAGGACCCAGAACUGCAAGCGCAUGUUAUCGGCAGACUGGGUGGAUUGGUUUGUGUCUCCGAGUCAAAUUAUCAAUUCUAACUGCCUUUUAAAACAGAAAAGAGAAAGACCUCGUCUUGCACAGUCUGUUCUAGUACGAUUUUACAUUUGCCUUUUAUUUUCAUUUUCAAGGCCCUUAUUCAACCAAAUAUAUCGUCUUUACAGAAUAUUCUUUUUGCUACCCAGAUUAUUUCAUGCCUGUACUAUUUUUAUUUAAUCAUCUAUAUAGCUAACCUCUGAUUCUUAACUUUUACAUUUUAUGAUAGAAAACAUAAUGUUUUUUCUUUACCACAUGAUUCAGUCUCCCAAUUAUAAUUUGUAAACUAUGUGUAGAUGGAAUUCAAUUAAGAUGUAGCAUAAGAGCACUUCAUCGGUUAAAUAACUAUAGAUGUACAUAAUAUGUAAAAAAUAAAAGAACAUGUUGCACUGAAAACUGGUUUAUUCAACAAGGACUAAUCACUGUUAGUUGGUGAACUUAAGUGAUUGUUUCUGGUCAGCACGACCUUCAAGACUUAGAACUAGUACAUCUCAUCCUCUUACGGUUUUUGCUCAUGGACCCAACGAGAAAAAAAAUGAAAUUGCCUGCUUUUCCAUCUCCCAGCAGAUUUUUCGAUUUUGAACAUACCAGCCAUUAAUAUAAAGUAGAUGAGUAUAUUAAAAGAAAGAAAAAAAGUAAUCAGAAGUAGGCUUGGUGUUCUGUAGGUUAUCGUUCCAAGUGCUCUGCCACUCACUUCCACCUCUUCAGUGGUUCGACUUUCUCUAAAACUUCAGUAUCAAACAAUGUGUUGCAUAAUAUUCUUAUUGUGUAAUUUUAAAAUACUGUAGUAAAUUUAAACUUAAUAUGGGCUGCCCUACUUCCAUACUUAAUUUUAAGUGGUCUUGUUAAAAAACAUAAACAUUUAAUUUAAAUCAAGCAUACAUAUAGAACUCAUUAAUCUUAUAUUAAUAAUUCCAGGAGGCCACACAAGUAAUAAAAAACAUGGAUUCCUUCCUUUCCGAUUUAUCAGGCAUUUAUGCUAUAGUAUGUUCAAACAGAAUGGGCUCCUACUGUGCCUGCUGGUGUACACACAAAGUUAAAGAGACAGAGCCCUGGCACAGAGGUUUGCCUUCAUUUGCUCAACACCUGAGGUGCUAAAAGUAAAAUGCCAAGCAGGAGAGCCUUUUUAAAAUUAUUUUUCCUUUUUCUAAAGCACUGGCUGUUCAGGUGCAGAUUUACCAGGAGCAGGGGGUGAAGGGAUGCUAUGAAGGGCUUUAGAUUGUCCCUUGCUCUCCAUCCCUUCCUGUUCCCCUCCUCGUCAAGCUCUCGCUGGGUUCACCUGUGCCUGUCUACUGAACACUGGAAGGACUUUAAGCUACCAGGGAACUGAACACAAGCAUCGACCACCUUAAUCUCUGCUAAAUAUAGAGACUUCCCAUUGAAUUUCCUUGUCCCUGCUAAGUGGCUUAGGAGGAUAAACCUACUUUCAGGACAACUGCCCAAAUUGAAAGGAAGAGAAGGAAAGUUGUUUCUGAGAAUGCCGAAGGUGGUGAUCCCAGCUUGCUGCAUUUUGCAACACUACUUACAGAUUGGGCAUUACAGAUCUGUGGAUUUGAUUUAUUCGCUUAACAAGGAUUAGAGUAAAAUCGCUCCUCCCAAAUUACCAUGAUCGAAGCAACAAUAUCUCAUGGAUUUCCUGUUAUUUUUUCUUCCUAUUUUCUUUGGUGGGCUCAAAUAUUUUCUCUGUGCAGUAGAGAGAAUCUGAAGGCCAGCAUAAGAAACAAGAAAAGUCACUACUCAGAAUUACAGUGGUAGCAACAAGUUGCUAAAGAGACGAAGAUGAAGAAAAAUUGUUUUAGGUAAAGGCAUGAUGAAGUGAGGAAAAAGAUAUGAGGAAGAGACAUUUCAUUAACAUAUGCCAUAAUAUCUUUGAAAUAACACAGACUAGAUAUUUAGCAAAGUUGACAGUGCAGAAACAGGGAAGGACUGACUAAGGUUGGUUCUAGUUGGUUGAAUUUAAAGAGGGAAAAGUUCUUGAAAGCAUUUGUUUCAUUUUUGCAAGGACUGUGCAUAGGCCAAGAUUCAUAAACAAACCAUAUUUUAAGAAGACAAAAGAGGUCAGACUGGUUCAGGGCAGGCAUACACUUGGCCCAUUUAACGAUCUCCAGCAGCAGACAUAGGCCAAUUCACACCCAGGCCCGCUCUUGGACAGCAGCAGGACCAGGACAAGCACAUUUGAUAUUGCCCAUGGGCUCCAGCAUCCAACUUUGUUUUAGCCAGGGGGUGUUUCCUGAGCCUGAUGUGGUUUGUCUAGCUAGUGACCUUUACUAGAUCUCUCUUCCAAGGUCUUGUGCAGUGUCUCCUUGGAUCCAUGUGAACUUCUUUUAUCUACACUGUCCAGGCAAAGAAUGUCAUGAGUAUAUUACCCAUGGGCCUAUAAAACAAUAUAAUUAUUGUAUUAUUUGCUUUGAACUUGUCUACUGCCACCCUCAUUUUUUUCUUGAUAGAGGUGAGAAGUUGAUCCCUAUCCAUCCUUUUCACAUGUGAUUUUAAAACGUUUAUUGUUAUUUUGAAGAAGCAUUAUAGGGAUGUUGUAAACAAAGUCUCUGAAGCAGAGUCCGUUGCCCCUGUGCUGGAAAUCUAUUUCUUCUUAGCUCUUGCCAAUCAGCCACCAGUUUGCCUGCUAUCUGUGGCAGAUGCUGAAGCUGCUAUUGCACAGAAGUCCUUCCAAGAUCCUGGGGAAAUGGAAGCUUAGAUGAGCACAUUCUGAGAGAGCCAUUCUUUCCCACUGUUAGGGAAGAUGCAUUAGAGGAAAAGAUGCAGUCAUGCAUAUUGUGCUCUUAAAACCCUGCUGGCCUUUCCGCAAGCAGAAUCUAAAAGAAUAGUAGGGAGUGAAAAUGAAGAGAAGAAAAUUUGCCCAUGCACAGGAAUCAGCCCCCUUCUAAGAAAAAAACUUGCUAAGAACUAAAGCUCAAGGAAUCAAUGUAAAGUUUAUCUGAAAACUGAAGUAGAAAACUGAAGACAAAGUAGUUCAAGCUUCCUCUAAAGGAAGAGGACACUAUUCCUAAAGUUUGGCAGUAGACCUUAAGCAGGCACAGUUAACAUAAUAAUUCAAACAGCAGAAGCUUGUGAGACUUUUCUGUUAUUUCAGUAGGAGAUUUGUGACCCAUGCAAUAUACUCCUAUUUUCCCCGCUAUGUUUUACAAGGCACAAGAAUAUUGCUGAAUCAGGCAGGAAAUCCCAGUUUCUAUUAGUAAAAAAUUAUAUGGAUACGUAAGAUUCUUAGGUAAAAAUAUAAACGAAGGUCUUUCGGAAAUCUUACUACAAGGUAAGGUAUAAUAUAUCCCUGCAUAGAAGAUAGGAAGAGCAGCUGUUGCAGAAAAAUGCACUUUUAGAGAAAUUAUGUAAAGCCCAGUUAGUGUCAAAGCUAUUGAAGAGCCCUGUACUAGUGAAGUAGAGGAGGUUAAGGGAGACUGAUGAUGCUACAAUACUCAAACAGAAAGUCCUUUCAUUUAGGUUUGUAAUUCGAAGUGACUCUAUUUGACACAAAAUGAUCUGUACUGUUGCAAAAUAGUUUCUGACAGCAGAUUUGACGUAGGCAAUGCCCAGUCUAUCAGCUAUAAUCAUACUGGGUUUGGUUGCAGGAUCUGAUAAUUAUUUCAGAAGAGCAUGUCUGGCUAAGAAGGCAAAGAGAUUGUACUGAAAGUUUCACAAGACAAAGAAAGGUAAAAAAGAAAAAACAAGUGAACUGUGUUAUUAAACAGAUAAACAAAACAUAUUUUUCGGGAGCUCUCAGCGUUCCCCUAGUUAGAACGGGACAUCUAUCUGCGUCAGUUAUGAACAAGUGCACACUUAGGAGUCCUCAUUUGAAAAAGGUAACUUUGGAAGACAGAUCAUUGCUGUUGAGUCCCUGUGGCAAUGGUUAGAUAUGCUGAAAGUUAAAAAGGCUCAGAGCCUCUAAUGUUACCAACUCUAUCUAACGCCAAAGGUUGCCUGGCUUAAUUCAGAGCCAUAUGUCACGUAAAAGUUCCUGAAGAUGGUCUUGCCCCUCACUGGCUUGUUGACAAAGCAUGUAAUUAAUUAUUACCUUGACUAUCAGCACUUGUUUGGUAAGUCCCUGAAAAACAAAACCAAAUGUUCAAGGCAGAGGGUCCUGACUGAAAUAUUUACAUGGAAACAAAACAUGAUUUAACCAAACUGCUACUGGCUGGGAUCUCUCCCCUGGGAAGUAAAAAAGCUCUUGAUAAUAUGAUGUAUAAUAGCAAAACCAUAACCAAGUGUUUCAAAUCCAUGUUGCUGUUUUUUUAAGUCUGAGAACUAUUGACCAUAUAGUUUUAGACCUGUGUGAACUGAAUCAAUCAUCUGUUGCGGUACUACAGUUCAGUUCUUUGUCUUCUGAGACAGGCUGUGAUGAUGGUUACUUUUUCUGGGAGGAGGCAGGAGAAACACAACAGAAAAUUCCCACUUGGUUCAAGAGAAAGACUGAAGUAACAGCACUCUGUAAUGUAGUUCAGUGUUCAUAUGAGGAAUCUAAUGUCUUUUCUCUGCUGUAUGGACCCCUAUGUAAAAAUAGACAUCUUGCAGACUGGCAGUUGAAAAUCCUUGAGGAUUAGUGAUUGGUUAGGAGAUUAUGGAUACAACUUCAGUCUGAAUUUGAAAUAGCAAAGGAAAGUGCUGAGGCACUGAUAGUUGACACUGAACUGCUAUCCCCUUCACCCUCCCUGUAAUGUUGUGGAUACAGAAGGCUCUGUACUUCUGCACUUCUAACAGUGCAUUUGCUUCUGCAUUCAGUCAUAGAAGGGAAUCCAUUUCUGGUGUUUAUUGUUUCUCAUAAACCAGAUAGCUUGUUAGACAAUAAGAGAGAGAAAAGCCACGAGACCAACAAGUCACUGAACACUAUGUACAACACGGUACUGAAAAUACAAUCACUACUAUGAGAGCUAUAAAUACAUAAGGCACUCAACACAAAGCUGGUCACUAUCAAGGUCCCUGCAGGGACCAUGAAAGUAAUAAAAUAGGUCUUUUCAGGCCCUGGACUUUAAAAUAUUUGAAUCAAGGAGAUGCCAUAUUGCUGAUUAAUCUUUUAUCCCUUGCUAUGUGCAUAGGCAGCAACUUGUGCUGGGAAUCACGCUCCUCUUGCCUCCAUCAGACUUCCCUACCAGUACAAGUGGACCCUGGUAAUGGAUGUGUCCCAGAAACUCAGAAUCACAGCUUUUAGGACACUGAAUAAGAGACACUGUCUUAAAUCAUAACUAUAGCUUUACUUGUGGAAUUUAGGAAUAAAUUGAUUUCUGUUCAAGGGAAGACUUCUCUCUCCCUCCCCCGCUGUAUGUUUCCUCUUGGAAAAAGGAAAUGUUAUUGUGGAACAUGUUGCUCUCUGAAGAAUCACUCUAGGGAAUAUCUUAAACACCAGUGACUUAUGACUCCUUUAUCCAUAUCUAAAGAGAUAUAUCUAGUAUGUUAACUCAAACUGUAUUUUACUAAUGAUCAAAAAGAGACUUAAUUUACUUCAUGAAAUUGGUUAUACUAUUACGUAUAAAGUUAAGCGAAUCACACAGUACAUACACUGCAUUAUUUCCAUCUUCGUGAUGUAACGCAAAUAAUGAAACCACUAAUGUUUGCACUUAUGUUGCUAUUUAAUGCCCUAAGGAUAGAGGACAUGAGGGUGCUUCAAGUAGUAGUCUGAUGAUACUCUCUAAUGGACUCUGCUUGUCCAAAUAAUUUGUCCUUGAACUCAUGGGACACAUACACACCAGCGACGAAAUCUAUCUACACAACCACUCAAAGACGCAGCCAAAAGUAUCCCAGAUGUGUUAUUCAUGCAUUUUAUAGAAAUCAGGCAAUUAAAAUAACUCUCUGUGCUUUGGCCAGCUUAGAUGGAAAACUAUAGAAGUGCUAUACAAACUAACACACAAACUGCAUUACAAAAGCAAUCGUCUCUUUAUACUGUACACAACAGAGCCCAAAACUACACACAAAUACACCUCCUAGUACUCCAGAAAAAAAUAUUUUCUCAAUUCUGACAUUUUCUUAUCUAUUUCUCAAAAUUGGCCAAAAAACUUCCACACUCUUAUAUGUUAAUGCUUAUACUUUCCAACCUAUACCAACCAUAGGACUGUCUUUCUGAAGUAUAGCUUCUACUACUUUGACCAGCCUAAUUGCAGUUCUGUUAAAUAAUGGGACUACCACCACUUUAGAACAUCAUUAAAUCUGCUAAAAUAGAAUAACUCAGAAUAACUACACACCAUGUUUUCCCAAUUCCACCUCCGAUUACACGUUCUCCUGCCAACUUAAAUAAAUAUCAUUCCAGUUUCCUCACAUAUAGUUGUUUACUUCAGUUAAUCAAACUGCAUGUAUUCUUUUUCUUCCUAACCGCCCUUUAAUCGUUCUGCUUCUGAAUGUCCCUAUUUUAUCUCUAAGCAAUAUUUUCAAAAUUAUUAAGCGAUAAAUUCAUUGGCACCUUUGCAAAGGGGGCUUGAUCCUUCUGUAUUAUUAGCUCUGUAUUUUUCUGAGUAUCAUACUAUCCAAAAUAGACACAGGCACCUUGCUGCAGUAGCUGCAUUGGGCCUCUGAAGAUAUGCAGGAAAACUAAAUUCCUCAUCAUAAUGAAUUCCAUCUGGUUAAGUAAAUAUUUUCUUUAGUCUGAAAAAAAAAAAUUAAACUGUUCAAUAGAAAACUGAAUGGCAAAGCUGAAAAUAUAGUUUGCAUUUUAUAACUUCAAACAAUAAACAUAAAUGUGAAAGUUCGAAUACAAAAAUUAUUAAAUUCAUAUACAUGUUGAGGAGCAAGUUCUGACAAGUAGAUUUCAAUUGUAAGUAAAAGGAGCCUUAGCGGUUUUUGCCUUUUUCUCAGUUUGUCCAAUUCAUUAAGGCAUCUCACAAUUCAGAACCAUUACUCUCUUUUCACAGAACAUCUUGGAUCAUAAGCCACUUCUUUGGCUUUCAUGAGAAGUCAAGUCACUCAACUUGCAGAGUCCUUUUUAAAGCAGCAUUUCACUUCCAUCCAGGAAUUAUAUUUUCCUAUCCUUGUAAAAAAGUGUGAGUCACACAUUCUAGCUAUUUGCUAAACAUAUUCCUCCAAAAGCUGCUCUGACCUACGCUGCUUUUCUUCUACAUAAACUGUAUUAAUACAAAGGUGGAAUGAUAUGUGAUUCAUAUUCUUGUACCACAGUUCUGUAGGAAUUUUAACAUACGUUAUACUUUCCCUGUAACAAACAAAGUUAUAAUGCAGUCAAUUAUCGCUGGCAAGUAAGACUCCCAAAAUUAAAUAUAUCAAUUUGACAACAAUUUUUCUCCAGACUGGCUUGUAUUAUAAAGGUUUUAAGCCUUUGGUAUCCUCUUUCUAAGUUAAUUCUCAAAUAGCUUAAGUAGAUAUUUCCUCCUCUAAAAAAAAUGUUUUUAAAAGUACAGUAUUAAAUAGAAAAGUUAUACUGGAACCCCUUCCUUCUAAAUCAAGUUAACAAGACAGACUGAGCUCCAAAAUGAAGGGAUGCUACUUUUCUUACUUAGAUCUUCUUCUCUGGGAGGUUAACUGAGUGAAAGUACGCUAUUCACAUAUUUAUUACAGCUGCUUCUAAUAAUUGUAACCUUUCUAACACAAUUUGAGGGAAGAAGGUACAAUAAAAGUCCAUUUGCAAAUGUUCACAGCCUUCCUGUCGCAGACCAAAUACAAGAAAAACCACUGCAAGAUAAAUACUUUAAUUUGAAGACUUUAAUUAUUGUUUGACAUGAAUACGUAAGUCCUUAAGCAGCUAUCAGAUUAUCACAGUAAUAAACAGUUUUCUCAGCAAAUUGAAUUUCUUAGAAAGGACAUGCUAACCAGUAUUCUGAAUAGGCAAAUGAUCUUCAUUCCUUCAAUAUCCUUGCUCUCUUACAUUUCUUGCUAUACACUCUAACAAAAACAUAUACCCCAAUGACAUUAUAAUCAAGGCCACGAACGUUGGUAACGUGAACCAUACAUAUUCUUUACUAUUGUUUUUUGAGUACAGGAAAAUAGAAUAUCUUGAGGUUUGGAGCAGAAAUACAAGUGAUACUUUCUAAUAUCAGUAACUAAUUUCACUUUAGGGUUCCAUUAUCACAGCAUAGAUACUAGGUUUCAUUUUUAUUACUAACAGGCUUUACUUAGCACAGUAAAAAUAGGCUGUUAACCACAGAAAGUAAAAUGUACCAUCAAAGUUCUGGUUUUGCUUAGGAAUCAGAGUUUUUCAGAUACUCUAUCAAAUAGUAAAGUCUAGUUAUCUAUAUGUGACAUGUGUUUUGAAUGCAGAAUAUUUCCCUGAAAUAUCUACAAAGCUAUACAUACAUGAAGAGCAUGUGUUAAAUAGAAUAAGAAGCCAAGGAAAAAAGGUAUUGACAAUGCUGAAACCAGCUUCCUGACUGGAGAAUCAAGUAGUGUAAGCAGAGUAACAGUACUGCUUGCAUGAACAGGUAAAAUGCUUUAUCCUUGUCGUCAAUCUGGAAAUAGAAAUUAUAUGUAUAUGAACUUUAAAAUUGAAGUAAGUGAAAAUUAAAAUACAGAAAGGAAUACAAAAUACACUAAUACAUCUACUGACAAAAAAAUGAUACUUUCAUUUUUAUUUAUCAUGUGUUCAGACUCUGCAAUUUCAUCUCCACAUUCCAAAUUUCUUUUUCAAAUUACUUUUUAAUAUUCCAGAUUAUUUACUGAGUGGAGCCAACCAUUAUGAAAGAAGAUAGAUGUAAGAGCAUUACUAUGACAGAAAUGUUCUGUCUAAUCUGUUCUGAACUGCCAGUGAGGAAGAUGCUCCAGCACUGCCAGAUACCCUGGUUCUAGUCUUUAACUGUCCUGGUACUUAGAAAGAUUUUCCAAAUAUGUAGCCUGUUCUUCUUCACUGUAAAUUAAGACAAAUUGUUCUUGUCCUUCUACAACUGGGUACAAAAUACAAAUGAUGACCAUCUUCUUCACAAUCAUUUUUAGAUGUUGGGUUAUUUUCCCCAGUCUUCUCUAGGCUAAACAAAUACAAUGAUUUUGAAAUGUGCCUUAUAAAUCCUGCUUUCCAAAAACCUUUUCACUCACGUGCUCUCCUAUGGAUUCACUUUUGCCUGGACAUCAAAAUCAUUUUCCUUUUCCAGAUUUUGUUUUAACAAACAGAUACAAUUAUUUUAUUCACUGACUUAUAUUGUCUACUUUGCAUAAGCGUCCUUCAAUUUUGCUUCAUCUGGUAAAACCAGGUAGAACCAAUGUUACUUGGAAUUUUAUGGUACUCCAGAGCAGUAGGCCCCACAGACCCUUGAAACAAAAUGCAUCUGUGCAUCUCUUCAGUAACUUUUUUUGAAAUCAGUAAUUACACUCAAUUUUCUUUGAAUGUAGAAUAAUUCACUUCUUAUUUUUUCAUUUUCUUUAAAGAAUCAGAUAAAGUAGGGCUUUUGUAUGCCUUUUGCUUACUAAUCCUAUAACUUUUGUUUUUACAUUUAACAGCUACAACAAGAAUUAUAAUAUUCUUAAUAAACAAACAGAUGGAGAGAUGGAUGGACAGGCAUGCAUAAAUCUAGUUUUCUUUAAGAAUCAAGUGUAUUAGAAGGAAGAUUUGACUUAAAGUCUGUAUCUCUAUUGUCUCAAAAUAGAUGGUGUCUGCUGAAAUGGAGAUAGAAAGAUGUUGCUAGUUGAAGUAUAGUAUGGAGUCUCUUUUUGAUCAUUACACGAUGAUUAGUUUGUAGUAAAAGCACGUCACAUUCUGCAUUGUUUUCAAAGAGCUUUGUCUGAAUAAAGCAGAAAUAUACUGGACCAAGAAAAGUAAAACAGAAGAUGUAAGAUAACAGAACUAAGAAGAGGUCUAAAUGCUGCAGUGGCUGGCUGGCUCUCUUCACAUUUCUUUCCAGAUGCCUGCCUUUAGAUAAUCUAGUCCCUCUACUUUUUUUUUACCCAGAGAUAGUUUAUCCCAGGAAUCUCCAAAUUAGUUCAUUGGAAAGAUGAAAAAAAUGUAAAAAAUUGAAAAACUGGGCAGCAGUUUAUGACAUCGAGCCCAGAGAGUUUUUCCGCUUCUUUGCUCUAUUUCACUUGUACAGACUAUGCAACUAUACUACAGUCGCGUAUGAAAGUUCUUCUAAGAAGCGGUUUCUAUGGUUUGGUUUUGUCUUUUAAUAUUCAUAUAGUUUAUUCAUAGGGUACUUUCAUAAUGAAUUCCUGAAAUUUAGUAGUUCUUCUUUGUAAUCUAGUUAAUAUAUCCACCUUCAAAACACCCAAAUCUCAUGAUACCUAGGUGUGCUUUCAAUAUACUACACAAAUAAAUAGGCUUAAGGGCUCCCAGCACCUACACUCCUGCUUAGAGCAAUCCACGUCCCAUCUCCGGAAAAGCCUUUUUACAAUUUAUAUACCUUUCAGCCAAAAUUCUGAUGUAGUCACCUCCUCCUUGCUAUACUACAACUUAGCUUCCAGCAGCUCCUAAAAACUAUGCCCCCCCACCUCCUAGGGAAACACAGAGAGACAAACCCGCAACAAGUGAUUAUUUAAGCAGAAGUGAUGGGCACGGAAUAUAUUCGCGAUAAAGGGCGAAGCACUUAAUGAACAUGUCUCUAGCAGACAGUUGUACCUGCACUAUCCGACAUAACAUUUUUCAGAACCUCUCUUCAUAGAAGUCUUAAAAUUACUUCUUUCCUCAAAGCAGGAACUACCAGUUCUGGCAGUUCUGGUUAGAAUAUGCAACGUAUUCAGAGAGAAGUGGACAACUUCAAAUAUUUUGGUUGGUUGUUUCAUGUGAUUUUCUAAAACCAGGCUCAAGGGGAUCAUAGUAUUAGAAUUUUAUAUAAAGCAUUUGCAUGUCAAAAUUUUGAGGUAAUUAUAAGAAAGAACACUCUUCUUUUUUCAGCUAGGUAUGUAAUAUAUGUGACAGAUUUGCUUUAUGUUUUUCUCCAACCACAUGUAUAAAAUUGUAAUUUCUUACAUUUUUCAUUGAUAUUCUGUUGCUUUUAAAAAUGUAGCUUAUAUUAUUUGCAAGAACAUAACACUGCUGAAGCCAAAGCAAGCUGAAGGUACAGAAGAAUACAUUCAUAUUACAGAAGUUAUUUUUCCCCACCUAGUUCUCCAUUGUGUUGCACAUAUGGUUGAUGGCAACACAGUAAAGCCAUGAUAGCCACUUAGCUCCUCCAGAAAAGUUGCCUGCAUUUCUGCAGGAAUCCUUCUCCAAACAAAUUACACUACUUAACUACAGGCAAAUCUAUUGCUGAAUAGUUGUUAUGAUGGUCUAUUUGCUUCCCAGUGUUCCAUUAAGAGUCAUUUCCUAUUAAGAACUGUUUCCAAACACCUACUCCCAGCCUUCCUUCUCAUCUUCUGGCCAUCUUCCUUUGAUCUACAGCAUCCUAAAAUCUUACCCAAUUUACUUAUUUCAUUGAUGUCCUUUAUAUACGAGACUUAAAAUUAGUCAGUAUUGUACACCUAAAAAUUUGAACCAUGCAAAAUUGCUUUGUUGGCCGAUUACAUACAUUUAGUAACUUUAGCAUGUUUUCAGGAGAGUCAUUAUGUUGUUAUGCAUUUAUUUUCUUUUAAACUACCUGUGACACCAUACCAAAAUGCCUCAAGCAUUACAGGUAUGGUCAUAAUAGUGUCAUCAUGUGUAACAGAUGUAGUCGCUCCUUAAUUUUAUACUUUUAAACACAACAUGCUAACAAAAAGAGUGACAGCUUCCCUUGCAUAAACCCAAUGGCAUUGUGAUAACUUUCUUGAGUUUACCACACUUUAGACAAAUACUUCAAGCAUCAAUUUUGUAAAGUAGGAAGUAGAGAUCCUCAGCACUCGCCUUUCAGAAUCUGCAAAUAGUUUUGAUUUGAGCAGUUUAUUUCCUCUAUUUACCACUGAGUAACUUAAAAGACAAUAUUCAACUGAAUACUAACGCAUUCUGUUCCAACAUUUUCUGACUUGCCACAUUCUGCCUUCCCUUUUUAUUUUCUGUCUUCAGACUUAAGCAGUUAAUCCCAGGUCAUAAAGUAGUCUAUGAACGUAACUUUAUUUCCCCUUUUUUUUUUUUUUUGCAUCCUGCACAUAGUUUUCUACAACCUGUAAAAUUAGAAAAGAUUAUGGAAAUAACUGGUGACCUCACUAGGUCAAAAUAUGACCUGGAACCUAAUAGUAAUUACAUCACAUACUGGAAAACUGUCCAAGUAAUACAGAGCUUAUGUUAAUCCCAAGAUAUUAUUGCAUAUCCCCUUUUGAAAUCUGUAUAAAUAUUCAGUAAAGCACUUAUCCCAUCAUGUGCAUGAUGAGGUCAUUAUUUCAUAUUGCAGUGUGCCCAUUUCAGCACCAGGUUCUUCUCAAAAGUCUCAGAAUAAAACACUGUAAACAAAUGCACAAUGUUUCAGGCUUUUAUCCUACAAGGAGGUGUACAUAGGUUGGACCCCAACAGCAUUUUAAUAAUGAACUAUUAAUGAAUCUAUUCACCCAAAUGGACAAAUGCUGACUUCUUUAUUGUAACCUUGCUUAUUUUGAAGACAAUAUUCAUUCAUCUAAGCAGCUUUCCAGUUUCCUUUUAAAAAUACUACCGCAUCAGAUAAAUACUGGUUUGCCUUUUAUUGUCCUCCUCCAGCUAUCUCAAUUUACUGAUUUUUCAGAUUUUCUAUGCUUUCUUUCCUUUUUAUAAAGUCACACAUUACAUCCAAAUUUAUAGAUUCAUUGACGUUUCUGUUCAAGAAACAGUAGUCCGAAAGAUACCUAUAGAUCAUCAGUUUUCAUACCAUUGCGAUUUUAAUUUAGAGCAGGCUAGUACGGUUUUAAUUAUUGCCAACUGGAUGUAGUUCAUAAGGUUACAUCUGUUCCACUGAGCUAAACAGGGCCCAGGCACGUGCUCGAGCUCUCCCAUGUGACAAUCUGUGUCAUUUCACUCUCACUGCGCUCUUUGGGAUGCGUUUGGCUCAGGCCAACAAGUGCCCAGGUAAGACACAGCAAGAUUUGGGGAAGAGCAGGGGUUAGGGACUGGAGAGGGGGCCACCCUGCUUCAGGAGAGCGGAUGGGUGAGCUGUGUGAAUGGGAGCUGUCAUUUGCUACCAACUCUUGACUGGGCUGUGGUCCACUUUGUUUUCUAGUACCGAUGUCACCUGAGACAUUAAAUGCAGCUGAAAAUGGGUAGAGAGUAGGGGAACCUUCUCAUGCUCCUGGGGGAAGGAUGAGGCUGUUGGUGUGGGACAGGGACAGCCCAGCGUUCAGACGACUGUCACCUCCUCAUAGCAGGAGGAUUUUCAGCCUGUGAGCUAGAAUGGCCCUUGGCUACCUGUGCUACCUCCAGUGGGCAGAACAAGGGUACGGAAUCUGGACCCCUUCCUAUUUUCAGACACUUUUCUAUGAUUUUCAAUGAUCAUUUUUGUUUGUUCUCUCUUCAACUGCCUUUUCAAAUAAAUUAUAUGCAGGCAGUGGUCUCAGAUUUCUUCUUAUUCAGUAUUACUCUACUGGAAACAAAGAAAAAUAUUAAAUGUUAAAGGAAUUUUUAAAAAAUCUGCUUUCUAGAGUUUCUUUCAAAGUUUCAUAUAUUUUCAGAUUACAUUAGCAAAACUAUAGUAGCUAAGCAGAUAAUUAGGCCUUCUCAGAUAGCAUCACAUGGUCCGAGCUUUCUUUCCGUUUUAUUUUAUCUUUGCGUGAUGGCAAGCUUAAAUUUCCCAUUUCCAGUUCCGUUUUCUUUUCUCCUACUUUAUACUUCACUCAACAUUUAUUUACAGCAGAAUCUUGCUCUUAUUCUAUUGCAAUGUUACUGCUGAACCAGCUUUCUGCUAUUACUCUUCAAACUCUUUACCAUUCUGUCAGUAAUUUUCACAAUAUGUUUACCCUUUUUCUGGUCUCUUUAUUAAACGAGAAGUAUUGUACAUUCAUAAGGUCUUCAUUUUAGAUCUGUUAUAUUUUUUUUAUUCCUGAUCAAUAUCAGACCCAGGACUGAAUUAACUCUCAUUACUUCUUCCAGUUGUUUUAAGUACUACACAAAAAUAUUCCCCUGUAAGCCUAUUUUGAAAUAUUUCUUGCAUGUCCACAAAUUCCCCUUCUACAGCUUUUCACACAUUUAUUUUCAUAUACAUAGGAAUAUAUGUAUGUGUAAUAUACAUAUAUGUGUAUAUAUAUAAUAAUAGAGAUCCUGAUAAUGCUGGAGAAAGUCAAAUGAAACAAACCUUCAACACAUUCUUCAUGGAUUUUGCAUCUUCCAUUUUCAUUUGUGAAAUUAUUUCUGUGUCUGCCAGCCACAUGAAUUGCAGGAUCUGCAAGCAGGGUGGUUCUUUUAUAAACUAUGCUUCCCUCACCUUAUCUUCCUUAUAUAGCAACAGAUAGUUAUAGUCUACUUAUGUCUUAGCCAGACUUGUUUGUAAUGUGAUCAAAGAACAUUUAAUGGAAUUUUCAGUGGCACUGCACCUCUCAAGACCACAUGUACCUUGGCUGUGUUUAUGAACAGAAAUACCUAAUUUUUCAUUAUUAUUUCCUGCAGGAAUUUAUAGAUGAAGUAUGUUUUCACAUCUGAAUGUAGUAAUAGUCACUCAAUGUUAUUGUGCUCUUGCAAGCGUUUCCCUAUGGUUACACUUAUUCAUUUGCUGAAAAAUCUUUCCUGUUUUGUUAGUAUUUCCAGCAAUGCCUUCCUCACUGUUCUUCAUAUAUUAAAGAGAUGGACAUUUUAACUGGUUAUUUUAACAGAGACAUUAUCACUCAAAGAUUGCAAAUCAAAAAAACCCAUAAACUUGAGUGUAAAAAUAAUUUGGUCGUCAAACUACAACCCUACAUUUUAGAUUAGUAGUGCGAUUACCCAUGGAAUAGUUUUGUAACUUAACAAGCAAUACCAAUACUGUACUUUCAAAGCCAAAGUCAUUUGCUAAAACUAUGCUAAUUCAAGUCAGUUUGAAGUACUUCUUUCUAACAAUAAUAUGCCAUUGUUAGACUUGUAUUAUUUCUCGUGAUGAGUAAGACCUUAUUCCAUAACCACUCUACUGUAAAAUGAAUACAAGUAUUAAGUAAGGGACUAUUUCAGGAUCUGUUAUUGUAUUAUACAGUUAAUAGAAAGGCCAAAUCUUCAGUAAGCAGUGGUGACUUAACUUCAUGCGUGCCAAUUUAUACCAUUUGAGGCUAUAGCCCAGAAAACUCUAAUGGGUUUUACAUAGUUUUCAAUAUGCUUUCUUUUUCUAUGGAUAAUUUUCAUACAGUCAAUUUUUACAAAAUUAGUUGCAGUUGAUUCAUCCUAACAAAAAACACUGCUACUACUGUACAACACAAAACCUCACCAUCAAUGUAACUGCUUUAGAGAUUCCAAAUUUCCUCUGCUUUCUAAUCCUUGUGUGUAAUGUCAUCCCCAUGUUCAGUAAAUGAAUCUGGCAAGGAAGGUAUUUUUUAAUGGGCUCAAAAUUAUGCAACGUCCUGCUCAUAACUACACUAGUUUAAAAAUUUGGGCACCGUAAGUUACAUUCUUAGCCACACCUUCAAUCACCUCCUAGUAAGUUACUAUUAUUACUGUUAUUGCAAAUUACUGUAUCAGAAGAGACUUCAGAAUCACAUUUUACACAUCUAAACUGAAAAGUUCUGAACUUCACUAUUUCUGUUUUAUCAUGGACUUGGCUUUCCUUUUAUUGCACUAUCUCAAAUCCAAAGAAUUCAGAUUAGCUAAAGAAUAUUUAGUAUAGAUAAUAAAAUAUGUAGGUAUCUACCCCUCAGACAGUAACUUUUAUUUAAUGUUUGUGCUAUAACAAAGCAUGAUUUGCAAAAAUUCUCCUGAUUUUAUGUGUGUACAUGUUUUAGUUGUCUUUAUUAUUUUUUUUUUAAUUUUAACUGCUGAUACUAUCGAUACAAAGCACUCUUUCCAUUAGCAUUUCUCUUUAUCUGCAAACAAAAUCUGAAAACAUCUGCCAUACCAUUUAUAAAUGCAGUAUGCUUGCUUUCGUUCAGAUGCUCUUUUGAAGUCAGCAUUCCUAUAUUGAACGAGUACCAUAAGUCUAUAUUUUUACAGGAAUGUUUAUCUCUGCCCAUAAUUGUCAUUCUAUUGAUGUAGGAGGCAACAUAUUUUGAUGCUAUGUGUCAUAAAAAACUUAAAAUACUGUCACUGAAUUGUUAAGUUUCUUAUCUGGUUUACUGGGAGUCUUAAAAUAGCAGAUGCUUACAGUGUUUAGAAGUAAGUAUAUUCUUGAAUAUAUAUGAUCAUGCAUAAGGCAGUAUUUUAGUCUAAUGGAUGCACACAAGAGAAAAAUGGAUUGGUAUUGAAUCAAAAGACUUAGGAGAGUCCAGUGGAGAAAGGAAUAGGAAAUUUACAUUAACAAAAGGAGUAAAAAAAAGGAGAAGACAGAGAGCUCAAGAGAAGGAGAGAUCUUUAAUGGGUAUAAAUCAAGCAAAUAUCACAUUGGGAGGAAGAAAAUAUUCACCUUUUAAUAAGUCAGACUUCACCAGUCCACAACUUUUAAAAUUUCUCCCACUUUUUGCAAGUGAGCCAUAUGGGACUAGAUUUUUAAAAUAAAGACUAAUGCUAUGUUUUGUUAAAUCUAAAUGUCUUUAAUAUGGAUUUUAUAUUCUUGACAUUUGAUUUUACAUUUCUACAAACAUCUUUAAAUUAAAAGUACAUUAGAAAAACAGCACAUUUUAUAUUGAAGGCAGAAGAACAAUACUUCUUGACUAUUCAAAACCAUAAAAAAUUAACAUGAGUGCCAUAUUCUUCUUUUUCUAUGUCUUCACUACAAUACUGUCUCUCAGAGAAAAUAAUGGUAUCAGCAUCAAAGGAAAGUGUCAGCAAUCUUCCACAUCAGAAGUUAGGACGAUACCUCAGCAUGGAAGGUAGGAUGGUCAGAGAGGUAGCAAGUGAAAAGCAUCAGAAGAUUUGGUAGCUAAUACAAACAAACACACACCACAGGGAAAGAUAACAAGAUUGAAAAGGACAGGAAAAAACAAAAUACAUAGGAAAUAGCAAGGGUAACAAUUGCGUUUAUUAAUUUUAGAAACAGCACAAGAAGAACACUAACAGAAGAAGUGAGGAAUAAGGCAGCCAUUCUUAAAAAGAAAGGUCUACAGAAAAGACCUACUAUGAUACGAAAUGCUCACAGUUAUUCCUCUCUUAAGGUGACGGGCCACUCACUUGACUUUUAGCUUGAGCUCGUCAGUUCAAAGCAGGAUUCCUGUGAAGUCAGUAGACUGAAACGGGCACCUCCAGAGGGCGAUUCAUCCCAUCCUAAGAUCUGAAUCCUAGACUCUGAAUCACGUAUUUGAAAUGUGAUUAAUUUUGUGAAGUUCACUAGGUAUUUGUGAACCUAGCAGCAUAUCUUUAAGCUAAAUACUUAUGGAUAACAACUUUUGAAUUAAAAUAAUAUGAGAAAAAGCACAUUUUCAACUUCCUUUACUCUGCACAAAGAAAAUUUACUAAUGACUUUCAUCUGCAUAGAACAUGUUUGUGCUGCAUAGUAUCUUUUGUUACUUAACAUUACUUGUGUUCACUAUACUGAGCACAGAAAUGAAGUCUGACCCAAAAGAAAGAAAACUUGCUUUUCUACUAGGGCUAACUAUGUACUACUGGGGGUGUUAAGUUUAUCUGCUGUAAGCAGAAAUCAAAGCUUGAUAUCACUGGGAUUCUACAUUCCCAACUUUUAAGACCUGAUUCAGGAAAUAACACAUUUAACUGAUACUUAAAAUGACACUGCUGAUAUUUCAGUGAUUUGUUACUGAACACAGUAAAUACUGCUGUGAAAAAAUGCUGAAAUCCUAUGUCAUGGUGACAGAUACUUGCAUUAUAAUGGUUACUUUAAAUGAACUAUAAUUACAUACAAGAUGGGUGAAGGGCUGGUUUUAAAGUUGGGACAUGGCCCAGUCUCUGUGCAGGAAGCUUCAGUGCAGAGCAGGUCUGUGGGGACAACCUCUUCAUCCCACCUUCAGCAGCUUGCCAGCCCAGGCAAUAAAAAAAGACUCUGCUCCUACAGAACUGUCAUACCAAAGCACAAAUAAUCAGAGAAGAGGAUGGAAAAGGGAGCUUUCCCCCUGGGCACUGAUCUGGGCGCCGGAAUAUACACCAAAGGGACAGUUCACAGUCUGCACUUUCUUAUUAGUAUGGAAAGUCUGAGAGACAUAAUCCUGGGACUAGGCAAUUCAUACCUCACAGGAGACCUAUGCAUACCAUGGUUUUCCACUCAUGACCAUUUCAGAAUAGUCACCCUGAUGCUGCCUAUUACAUGAGAACAACACGGAGUUGUCAGUUACCGUGCAACUAAAAAGACACCUUUAAAAUCUAAAUAUGGGUCCACUUGAAGUGUUAUUUUGCACUGAAGAAUUUAUAUGAUCUAAACAAUUCUAGAGUCAUGUAACAUAACAUAGUGUAACACUAAUGCAAAACAACAUUACAGUAAGGGCUAAUUAUAAAAUACUGCACGAAGUCUUUUAUUUAAAACUGCAUUUAAUUUCCUUUUCCUUUUAGAAUUACCACAAAGAAUACAGUUAUAUAAAUUUUCAGGUAUUCAUAUCUUCACUGGAUGCCUUUAAUAACUGCUGCCCAGUGACACAGACACUUAAUUCUUAUGUAGACCUAUCUCUAUCAGCAGAAAGUAAUACUCUACCAUCCAAAAAGUAGAUAUUAGCACUCCAAAAAUAUUUGUGAAUUGGCACCAUACGGACUCUCCCUGCUUCACCCAUUUUCACUCUUUGUGUCCCCAGUCAGCCACGGGGCAGUGUUAGAGGGGAUGAGACUCUGCUGCACAUCAGCCUGGGGAUCAGUUACCCUGGAGUGUUGCUUGGAUGGCCAGUUACAGCAUCUGAUGCAAACCACCACGUUUAAAAAGAAACAAGUUUUUAGCACAGUAAUUCAUGAAGACCAGUUGCAGUCACUAUAGAAAUAUUAGUUAAUUGCUCAGUUUAAGAAGUACAUAAUUUCCAUAAAUAUUUACUCUGCUAUAAUACCAUAUAUACUCAUGGGACUCAAGGAAUAACUAAGUACAUAAAUGAACAACUUAUGAUUCAGACUUUUUUGCCAAUUUCCUAAUUUAUUUUAUUUUAUUACAGCUUAUGGACGAAAUCCUCACACUGAUGUCUAACCUGUAAUGAAAGCUGAUGUUUCGACCUUUCAAUAGAGAGCUGAUUUUGGAGAAUGGCUUACUCCUGUGACUGAAAAACUCUCUCUGGAAGGUUGAUGGAGCAUAAGCAUGGUCUGAUCAGCAACUCCAGUGCAAUUUGAAUAUAUGUAAUCUGCUGACAAUGAUGUGCCCAACCAUAAUCGGUGCUGGAGCCUUGGGAAGAGAGAUUGUGUCAUCACACAGUAUAUAGUCCGACAAUGACUGACUUUGAUGAAUCUGUGAAAGAAGAAAAUAGUUUUUUCACCUCUUAAUUUGCAAAAUGCACACAAAAAAGUAGAAUUUAACCCACUGAAGUUGUUAGAUUGUCUGGGCUUCGGGGGAGGUUUUUGGUUUUGCUGGGAGUGGGGGAUGUUGAUGAAUUAGUUGAUAAUCCCGUACAGUGAUAAGGAGGAGUUAAUCACACACAUGAACUCUUGAUUUUGAGAACAUGAAUAUUUAUAGUGAAUACCGAAGUGCUUAAACCAAGCAUACAUGUAAGCUUUAAAGGAACUGAAUCCUUAGUCUUUUGCAGGUAAGACAUUAACAAUUUAAGCAUAAGCAUUUUCAUGCCAACAAGGCUCUUGUCUUCUUAUUUUCCUUUUACCAACUUCAUUUUUGGUCCUAAAUCAGAGAGAGAAGUUCUGUUGUUAAGUUACAAUUAAGAAAUGUGUUUAUUUGAGCAAAGGAAGAACAAAUGUGUAAGUGCCAGCAAUGUGCAGACCAGUAUUGCAAUAUUGGUCUGUUCUAUCUUUAAGCAGGUGGUUUCAUGUGGCAGGCUGCAAGAGACACUUUUUUUCUUCCCAGCUUUUGACAAAAAAGAUGACGCAUAUGACUCAGAAUUAGAAGGGGAAAUCUGCCAGUUUGCAUCAGUUCCUUAACUUGUGGGCUGCUAUUCACCACAAGGAAAAUCAGUAUACUCACACCAGUGCUUCUUGAGAGAUGAGGAGUAAUCAUUUCCUUCAGAAAGUGUAGGAUGAUUGGAGUAGGCCUUUCAUAUCUUACACUAGGUUUGUCAUAUAAUAAGAUAUUUUUCAAUUGUAUUAAAUUUUUAGGAAGAAAAAACUCAGAUGUUCUUAAAUGCUACAUCUACUGUUUAAAAUACAAAUCAGACAUAUUCUAGCUUAAUUCAGAGUAAAAGCAAAGGAUCUCUUCUGCUUUUUGAAAACAUUUCUGAUGGCACAGAAGUUCAAAACCCAUUGUAGAUUUCCACAGUUAAAGGUAAGGUUUUUUUACAUCUUUUUAACCUAAUUCCACGUAUCUGAAUCUCCAGUUCCAGCUUUUAAGUAAGUUAGUAAGACUGAAAAUUAAAUAUAGUAUCUUUGAGGGCAGAAGCCAUCUGUUUUGAAGGGGAAAAUAAGUAUUUGAAGUCAGGAAGAUCUGAUUUUCAUAAAUGCCAUGCGUUAGACCUGCUAAAAAAAGAUAAUGGACAACGCAGAGAUAACCCAAACCUCUAUGCAAGAAUCUGAAUUAUGAUGGAGGGAGACUUCUUGCAAUACUGAUAUUUGCUCAAAGAACGUAUUGUGAACUAGCCUUUUUAUUAAAAAAAAAAAGUAAAAUGCUAAUUAUUGAGAGAUUAAUGUCUUCUUGGUUUGUGGAUAUUUACUAGACAGUUUUAUAGGGCUGAGAGUACAGUUUUGAUUUAUUUUUUUUUCGUGACUGCUAGUGUGCUUUAGGUAAUGGAUUAUAAAUCUUUUUUUUUUUAAUAUAUUAACUUCUAGUUAAUUCAACAUGGUUUUACUUUAAGCUUGUUGGUGAAAUAUUGAAAAUCUAGCUUAAUAUAAAGCCAUAAGAGGCACUGAGCAUCCUUAUCUUUUUUCUUUUUUUCUUUUUCUCCAAUGAAUAAAGUUCCUUUCAUUUGGCAAAACUGUUGUUGUUUUGAAAAAGCAUAUCCUAAGUUAAGUUUAUUUUCUAGCUGGAAAAAAUGGAUUUCACUGCUUAGAAAUCUGUGUCAGCCUUAAAGCACCAUUUUAUUUUGCGUUAGCUCAGUUCUGUGAGUGGUGGGUCUCCCUGAUGGGGAAGUGGGGAGCCAACCCAUGGACAUUUUUGAAAGGGUGUUUACAUGUCUGUGUGUUAGAUGGUCUGUCUUCUAUGAAUAUUUCACAGAGGGGUAGGGAAAAGAUUAAAACAACCUUCUGAGUUGCUGCAGCAGCAUAUUUCCUCAGCUACCAUUGAAUAAACGAUAAUCAAAGUGGAUAAUAUGACUAGGAAUCUGUACCCCCAAAUGUGUUAAGGACAUUUGAAACUUCUACUGAAGUCAUUACAUAAUGAAGUUGUAGAAAUACAGCUAAGGAUUGGAAAAGUUAUGGUGAUUACUUGGAGGUGUUCACCUGCUGUUAACUAGCGAAUUCCCUUAACAGUUGAGUUGAUUUCUUCUCAUGAUUCAGUCUAACCUUUUGUACAAAAGUCAUACAGUUGUCUGGCAUUUUAUAGCAGUCAGGUAAGGAUGAUGUCAAGAAAAAGACAAAUUUACUGUCUGAGCCAGAAGGCAGGCUCACAAAAAACAACUUCUUUCAGGACACGAGAAGCUCUUUGUUCUGUGGCCUUGGUCUUUUUGUGCUUUGACCCUUAUUUUAUGGCAUUGUCACUCUGACCCUAAAUCUUUGGAAGGAGACGUGCAGCAAAUUUAGCCCUUUACAAGUGGAGCUGAGUUCUAAGCUAUGGGCCUGGUUUUUGUCUUUAGGCAUUAUAGUUCCAUACAAUGCUGAGAUGUAAUGAGAUCAAAAUUUAACAUGUAUGGUUUUGUGUAGUGCAAGUAGUAGUAUUUACAUAUCAGGCCACAUUUUUAAUAUAGAUUGUUAUAUCACUGUUCUAUGAUUUAUGAUAAGUGACCAAUUUCAGAUAAGACGGCAACCAAGAAGACAGCCUGAUUAACACUUUGGAAACUGAUCCUGUGCACAGACCACCAGGGUUCCUGCAAAAUGCUACCUGACUAUUAACUAUGCUAUUGAGGACAAGAAAUGCUUUGCUCUGCAUUAUACAGUUAGAAGAUUUAACCAGCUGCAUGGUUUGCUUUCCCAGAAGACUGGGUGCCAGCUUAGGGGAGUACAUUUUACACUAGGCCUGCGACUGCUUCCCAGGCUAAAUGAGUAAAUCUUCUGAGAAUGUGAUAGAAUUAACUUCUCUUUUUUUUUCUUUAAGAAAGCUAGAAAUGAAUGAGAAGGACAGAAAACUAAUAGUUAGCUGAUAUGUUUUGAUAUGUAUAUUUAUAUUUUAGGAAGAAUCAAAACUGUUUAAGAAGAAAACCUGUUUUACUAUCUUAACUUUCCAUUACAUAGCUGGUUUGUGUUGUAUGGGUAUUGUUAUUCUGAGAAGCAUUGUUCCAGUUUCUUUCUUUUUUUUUUUUUUUUACCAGUAAUUAUUCUAUAUACUUCAGGUUUGUAAACUUGAACUAAAGUCACAGGAUAAUAUUUUCUGAAGGUAAUAGUGUAUAAUCUAAGGAUAUGGUUUUUGGAGAACUUGGGGGGAAAAAAAUUACCUCUUUUAAAAAAAAUUUUUUAAUCUGAAAACGUGUUAUGAUUUUUUUUUUUUAAUACUAAUACACAAACUGCAGUAUUUUAAGACAGACCUGACUUUCUUUUUCAUAAAUCCACUAGACUACUAAUAUUUUUUGUGAUAAAAUCAGGAGGAAAAGAACAUUUUAAUUACAACUAUAAUGAAAUAUAAAACUUCAUAGAACUUAGACAAUAGCUUCUUCGUUUUUCUUAAUUUUUGUAUGUGUCCUUUCAAGCAGAAAGAAUGCUGGUACAGAUUGAAAGUGUUCACACAGUUUUCUUCCUGUGUGUGUGCCAAAGGUUCAAGAAAGACAGAUUUUAAAAAAUGGUGUGCAAGCUAUACCAGAGCCGUCAAGAGGGACCUGGAAAGCUCCUCUGAAAUACAACUUCUACACACUGUUAGAACCCAGAGCUUCUUACACUGUACAAGUUCCCUGUGAAGUAUUUCAUAUAGCAGUCUAGUUAAUGCAUCAACAUCUGACAAAACACUCUUUAGAAGCUGGGAAAAGAAGUGGGAGGAGUUAGUCUUAUUCAAUUUCAUUAUUAAGCUAGAGGUGAUACUAAAAUAUACUGAUAAUAUACUAAAACAUACAUUGAUGAUAUUUUGGUGUGCUGCAUCAUCUUCCCUUAGUUCUGCUCUUUGAGCUAGCAAACUAUAAAAACUGUUUGACAUCCUGUACUUGUUCAAGUCAGAACUAACUACUUUCAGUCUCUUGCCUUCCGCAUACAUCCCCUGCAUUUUGGUUGCUGUUCAGUGCUCCAAUAGAAGCAUUGAUAUGGCAGUACCAAAUAACUGUCUUCACUUAGGUUUGAUUUUGUGAUUGCAAUGGGGGGAAAAAAUGCAUCUAAUACAGACGAAUAUGUGAGUCAAGCUAGUGUAAGUAGUGGCUGGAGCGCUGAGAUGAAGUAAAAAGGAGUUAAAACUUAAUUUGAUGCCAGUAGACCAUAACUGCACUUCCAGAUUUCCAGGUAUUUUUAUACUUCUGAAUUUCUUGAUGUUUUACUUCCUGGUUUUUAUUUUUAGCUGCCUUUGUGAUUCUAUGUUUAUCUUGUGCGGUAGUUCUCCAGCUAGUCUAAAUACGUUGGUUCAUGAUCCUUAAAUUUGUAUUCAGAAAAUUACCCAAAGUAUUAACUGUGACUUUUUAAUACAAAUCGAUAAUAGUCUUAGAAAUAUUCAGCUGCUUGGUAGGAGGUAUGGGAAGAUCUAUCAUACAUGGAGAGGGUGUAUAAACUCAGUCCUGAAUGACUGCUCCUUUUUGAGGUGAAGUGGAGCUAAUUCAUUGCUGGAUUACAGUAAUUUAACAAAAACAAAACAAACUAGCACAGAAUUGCUAGGUUAUAGACAGAUUGUUUUUUUUAGAAUUGCAGUCUUAAAUGUGAGUUCAAAAUCUUACUGUUACUUCAGGGGAAUAGCAAAUAAGGUGUACAGUUUUAUUCUCUUAGUUGUUUUUCCUCUGUGACCACUAAGUAAUCUCAAUUAAGUGAAUUAACUGAAUAUCAUAGGCUAUACCUGAAAAAAAUAAUAACGCAAUAGUAGCCAAAAGCACACUGAUACCUUUAAAGUAAUGCUUUGAAGUAUUUCCAUUGAAUCUUUCCUCAUUUUUAAGGAAUAUAUGCAUAUCACUUUAAAGGCUGCUGACAUUAAGAAUUAGAAAGAAAGAGGAGUCCUUAACAACCAGAAGGCAGAGGUAAAAGAAUAUAAAACUUGCUUAUUCUUGAAACUUACAUUUAGAAGUAAAUGCAAGAGUUAUAAAUUCCAGUGUGUUUGCAGUAUAUAUAUUACAAUGUUGAGUAAGUAUAUGACAAAAAUAGAAAACUACAACAGUUUAAACAACAGCAGGGCAGAGUAGGGAAGUAAACAGUGUAUUAUCAAGAUACAGCUACUUGCUUCUCUUUAACUCUAUCUUUUGCCUGGAUGAAUCUAGUAAAAAAAUAAAUAUAUAUAUGUAUGUAUUUGCAGCAAGAGCUGAACUGUUGGUGUGUUUAUUCAUAUUCAAUGGUGUAUUAGUGGCACUGCACUGUGAGCUGUGAGAGCUUUGCAAAUACACCAGCAGUCGUCAAAAAAGCAAUCACUGCAAAAUGUUUGGUCUACCGUCUGAGUAAGUUACCCUCUUCCUGGAUCACACCGGACAUGCUUGUCCAAACUGGCCCAUUUUCUUACUGUGCCAUCUGAGUGCAAACCCCACCUCAUUUCCAGUUUAAAAUACGGAGCUGAACAGGGAAAACUGAGAUCUGGAGAUAUACUUGCUGAUGUCCGUGCUAUGGGGGCAAUUAGCACUGGUGGACAAAUGCAGUGCUUUAAACUGGAACACUGACAGUCUUUCAGUGUUUCUCACCUUCAGAUUUCCAAUUUUAAAGUGAAAUAAGGUUGGGAAAGGGUCACAAUGAACAGUGAAGCAAUAGCAUUGCUUUCAUAGUGGAUUUGCGUUUCUUCACUUUAAUGAGUAAGUAACACAAAAUGUAAUAUGGUUGUGUGCAAAUGCUACGACACCAUCAAUGGGGAAGGUGUUUGGGGCAAGAAAUAUCAAGAGAUUGCUUUUGUUGUAUGAGUAAAAGGCACAAGGUAAAUGUUUAAUCUUAGGUUGUGUUCUUGGACAUCUAAGAUAAUAUACAGUAUUUAAUAGAAAGAACUUGAUUUGUUUUACUCCAAAUCACUGAACUAUCAGAUUGGUGACUAGUGGUACCUUUUUGGAUACAAUAUGUUACACAGAGUUUAUUAGUAGUUAUAGUAGUCAGAAAUUCACUUGUAACUGGUUUUCGUGGUGUCAGAAAGAGAUUGGUUUUGGCUUGGUGGUGUUGUAAACUCUUAAACAUAAACCAAUAAAAACUGAACAUGAUAUUUUAUACUAGGCUUGAUCUCUGAUAAAUCAGCUAAGGAUAAUGAAAUCAAGGAAAGGCUCCUUCCUUAAUUUGGAACACCCCAGUCACACAAACAACCUUUCUUUCUUUUUGGUAGCAGUUUAGUUGCUUUUUCUAACAGCAUUCCUGACUUCUGUGUAUGUGUAGAGAGCCUGCUUGGAUGGAAUUUCAGUUCUGCAUCUUGAGAAUCCUUCUUUCUUCCAUCUUCCUCAGCAGAGCUCUCACUUUGAGGGACUUGGAGGGAUCUAAUGAAGCUGCUUGCAUAAAUGAUUCCUGGCUUUUAUGAUGAUGAUGAUGAUGAUUGUAUUUCCUCUGUCUGUCUCAUCCACAGAUCCCAGUCUUAAAGAUACUAGAGGUAUUACUUCACCGAGGUACUGAAAACAAUAUUUAGGACUUCAUAGUAUCUGAUGAUAAAUACAGAAUAGACAUAUACACCUGCGAAUGGUUUGGUUUACAUUAAAGCUGAAUCUAUUAAAGGAACCAUCUCAAGCUACAUCUGUCUAAUAAUGCCUUGAUGUUUCUCUUGCUGGGAAAUCUUUCAUUGAGAUGAUUGAAAUCACUGCGAUGAGAAUGGAAAUUACUCGGGUCCUUUCCUUUUAAAAACUGCAUGCAAGAACUGUGUGGUGAGUCAAAUGUAGACUAAUGGUUAUGUAAAUGUCACUAAUUUUAGAUACAGUCAAGAUCUGAAAGUGUGUUUCCUUUUAAGAUUUUAUUUUGUUCACUAUCGUGACUCAGUAUCACUUGCUAAUGUCAUUUUAUCAGCCUUGUUUUAUUUUACCAUUAAAAUACACAUGCCUUCUCCAAGUAAGUACUCACAGCUUCAAGUUUAUACAUCACACAGAUGUUUUAAAAGAGAAAAAAAGCUUAUCUGCACUGGGGAUUUGGUUUGACUUCAGGCUUCACGGGUGUGCUACUAGAGCAGUUGUACAGGUACAAACAUGACUAGAUGAAUAUGAAUCCAAGUUGUUAUAACUCAUAAAUCUGCAUUAUUUUACCAUAUAGAACUUCAGCCUGGUGUAUGCGCUGGUAAAAAUCACACUUUUCUUCUCUGCCCCUGCUAUGGAUUUGAACUGGUGAAACUACAAAUAGCUAAAAUUUCCAAUUUAGUUGAGACCUGAGCACUGCCCAGCAGUAAAGCCAUGUGGUUUUAGCCAACAACUUUUCAUAAAGUAGAUGCUUCUGUGUAUACAUAUACCUGCAACAGGUGUCUUAAGAUAUGUGGCCAAAAGGAAGUCGACUACUCAGAAAAAAUAUGCUAUCUGGCUCAAAGUUGGAUUCCCUUUUCCCUGAAGCUUCUUUGAGUAGCACUAUGUUAUAUUUGCUUACCUGUAACUGCUUAAUACUAAAGACCUGCAUGUACAUUUCAGCCAUUUGAAAACUUAAAAUAUGUUUGGAAAGACCAGACUCUCUGGGUCUUAAAAGAAAAAGACAUUAUUCUUCCACUAUUCUCCUCCUUCUAAAGGUUACUGAUUUUGGUAGCCAAGUACAACUGAGGUGUUCAUCCUGUUACUCUUGUAGAUCCAGUAUUAUAAAGUCACUAGGUUUUUUUCCAGGGCUUCCAGGAGUAGAUGUGAAUCUAAAGACCGGGUCAGAAAGAUUUAAAAGUAUGCAACAAGUAAGUCUGUUUGCACGGCUUUGUUAAAGUCCAGUGGCCAAAUAAUUUGUUCCUGUCUACUUCAUUGUGCCAAUGCAGACCUUCUUGUGAAUGGUGAAAUGGGCUCCUUCCCUCUGAUUCAAUCUGCAAACCCCUGUAACUGACACAGGGCAGGGGAUGACAGGGAGUGGGACAAAGCAGAAGGAGAAAGGUCACACUGUCUUGUUUGGUGGCCCUAGCAGCUUAUAACAGUUUAGUGAGAUGAUGAAAAUACAAUUUGAGGGUUUGCAGAAUCAGAGUUCAACUAAGGAACCAAAGUUCAAGUCUGGAUUAAGAAAACGACUUCAAGUGUUUAUGAGGGCCCAUUCAAAUUAUUCAGUUCCUAAACCUUUGAAAAGAACAUAUUUCUUACAUGGUUCACAGUUGCUUUAAAUAAUAUUAGCAAUUGUAUUUUCCAGAGGUUUACCUGCAUGGGGAAUGCCGUAGCAACUUCCUCUGCAUUGCAGCUCUGGGGUCCUAAGGAUUGUGCCUGAAUGUAAGAAAGGAAGGCUUGCUGUUUUCAUUUCAGGUGCUUAUUUUCUGCCAAGCUUAGCCACUGUAUGGGAAAAAUAAGGCUGGUUCAUGUAGAAGGGAAAGAAAAGAUAGACCUGCUUGAAAGUAGACUAGCAGCUAUAUAGGAGUGAAGACAACUAGUGAGAGGACUAUGUUGAAAAAUCUAAUGUUGAACGGUUAGACUGGAGCUGAGAACUGGUAUAGGAAAGACCGAUAUGACAAACUGGAAUAUUGAAAAGAUUGGGACAGGUUGGGCAAAGUUGUUGGUUUGUUUGUUUUUUCCUUUGAAUUGGAAGAAGCAGCAGCCUAACAGAAGGGAUCUGGCCUGAAGCAAAGAGAAUGUGAGUCAGGCCUGAGGAAAGGGGCUUGCACACCUCAGAUCAUUCCAAACAUUCACUAAAAUGCUCUGGAUUUCAGAUCCAGAAGAGAAUGCAGACUGUUUAGUAGCUUUAGCUGUCGUCUAUUAAAUCACUGUUGAUUUUGUCCUCCUCAUCUCGUUCCACACAGAAAAGGGCAACCUUAUUAGUGUUCUCAGCUACUUCAUGAAUUUUGGUCCUAAAAAGGAAUCUGAAAAUGACAAGAGUAGUUGAGGCUCAAAAGUACCUCUGGAGAUGUAGUCCAGGCAGGGACAGGCAGAGCAGGUUUUUUAGGGCUGUUUCCAGCUGGGUAUCGAAUAUCAAGGAUGGAGACCCUGCAACCUGUCCUGUUCAGGUAGAAUUUCCUGCAUUUCAUUUUGUGCCUGUCGCCUCCUAUCCUGUCGCUGGACAACACUAAGAGCCUGGCUAUGUCUUCUUUGCUCUCCCUUACCCCAGCAGCAGAAAUUUAUAAACUUCAGUAAGAUAUCCACACACAAGCCUUUUCGUCUCCAGGCUGGAGGACCAGCUUUCUCAGCCUUUUCUCAUGUGAAAGAUGCUUUGUCAUUCUCUCAUCAUCUUUAUGGAAGUAAAUGAAAUGUUUCAACUAAUAUGGGAAUUGGAACUCAAAGUGGGGAAUGCUCUUUGGGGAAAAUAAACCAAAACACAAUCUAAUAACUUAACUGUAAAAAGAACAUGAAGAUCACAAAAUGAAACACUGACAAGUUAGGUAACUCCUGCUUUAAGAUUCUGCAAUCUUCAUUUGCCCCCUGGUGUUAGUGUGCUAUGAAGCAAUCUUCGAGAUCAUACAGAAUAUUGAAUCUAAAGAUGGGAUUGGCCUGGUGUGGUGCUGAGCCAGGAAAGAUGUUUGUGGGCUCUGCAAGCAAGAAGCCUGAUGCUGCUAUAUGUGGUACAGAAAUUGGUAGGAAAUUCUGUAAGCAAUGCAACAAAAUGCAAAAUGCAAAAAAUAAAAAAACCCUUUGUUUAGUAUCUAUACUACAGUGAUGCAUUUCCUCAUGGAAUUUUCUAUGUUACUUAUUAACUCUGGUCACAGAGGAAGAGGUGAGUAUUGUGCAUCUUUUAAAGACCAGAUCUGCAAUUAACUUUCCUUGUUAUCAGCUCAAGCUGAGAAACUGAGUUUCCAUGUUGUUGAUUCAUGGUCUAGUCAUCUAGUUCUGUGAACUCCAAAAUACUGAUUUGUGUCCUGUCUUGUCACUGAUUCGUUUUUUUCACCUAUAGCUAUUAUAAUUAAACACUUGUCUCAUUUUUGGAAUGUGGUUUCAUGAGUAAAACCUUCAAUAUUCUGCAAAAUAUUUUAUACGCUGAAGGUAGUGCUCAUGUUUGAACUUCAACGUAUUUUACAAUAAAUUUACCUGUGCAGGUCUAUGUUGCAGAAGGAAUGACCUAGUUAAAUUGUAACACUUAAUUUCUUAUGCACAAGUGUAAACAGUGCAUCUUUAAAAAUGUAAAGUGACUUACACCUAUGUAUUCAGGACUUCUACAGGCCAUUGUUCUUCUAAUUACAAAAGCAGUUUUCUUAGUACUGCAAGUGGCACACUUUACUGAGUGAGAAUGGUUCUGUGCUUGAUAUUCAGAUAUAGAGAUCUGAAAAUGUUUCAGCUUUUUCCUUAAUCAUGGUAUCUUGUUAAGUGUUGGGGGAAGUCUCUCCUAAUCAGGUAGCAAUACUAGCAGUAAUGAUUGAAACGUUUAGACUCUCAUUAUGUUCUUUAUCACCACCUCCUGUCAUAGAAGUCAUGAGAAAUGAUUGACAGAAAUAUAUCCGAAGUGGUGAUCUACUAUUUUACCACAGUUUCACUUGAAGCAGAGCAGCAAUCCUUUAUUAAAAAAAAAAAAAAAAAAGCUUAAAAUGCAUUUGAAGGAAAACUUACAUCUGACGUAUAUGUAAAUCUGCUUUUGAAGGUGGUGGUUAUAAGUGUGCAUCAGAACAAAAUGAUUAACUAUAAACAGAAACAAGAGGUGUCUGAGAAAAUGCAAUGGCAUGAGUGGCAUUGUUCAACUUUCCAUGAGGGGGCUAAUUCACUGGAAUAUUACUUUUUCACCCAGAAUUAACCAUUUAUUUCUGUUGGAAGUUAUUUAAUGGCUCUCAGGUGCAACAACCCAGUGUUUUUUCCAAAUUCGAAUCCCUUUUAAUAGCUCUAUGUUAAUAAAUCAGAUGAAGUUUAUCUAAUACUGCUUCUCUGUCUUAAUGUAAAAUUUGAACCCUAUGUACAAAAUUUCUGAAAUUAACAAAUUAAUUCUAACAGCAUUUAUCUAGCUUGAAUCUUUAAAUAUACAGCGCUGAGUAGCUACAGGCUGACUUACUUACCUUCUGUGAAGAGAUAGGAAUAAUGUAUCCAUAAUGUUUUCUUCUGCUGUUUAUAGCCGUAGGAACAGCCAUCAAUAGAAAACUUCACAUUUCCCUAUGGUUUUUGCGGGGCAAACAUGUGGCUUUAUUACCUAUAAAGGAACCUUUUGUCAGCAGCUUUUACACUUUUAAGUGGUUUUAAAAGUAAAAAAAUUUGGAAUCUCUUUUAUAAUACUUUUGUUUUGAGUAUUUUAUAAUUUGAACUAUAUAAGGCAAAAAUUAUAGCAUAUGAAGUCUCAAAUGUAUACAUUUUUAAUAUUUUAUUGAAAUAAAGGCAAAAGAUAAACUCGAGGCAUUAUAUUAUUGGACCAGCUAGAAUAGUCAACAACAAUAUAUGACUGUGGUUCUACAGUCCUGUGAUUCUUGAGCCAGGCAAGUUUGGAACUGACACAGUUUUCCUGUUUCCUUCAUCAUUAGUCUGGCUCUGAUAUUUCCAUGGUGGUUUCACUCAAUGACUUUGGGUUAGUUUUGAUGAGAUCAGCCAACCAAAUGUGUUUGCUGUGUGAGCAACAGUGCUGGCGCCCAGGAAAUGUUCCCUCUACUCUCAAGAAUGGCAGUCCAGUAUUAAAGUUCAUUUCCAUUGCUUAAUCCAGUGUAAGGAAUAUUCUAGGCCAUAUUCUUCCUUUCUUGAUACUCCUAUAGACAGACUUUGCCUAUCUGCUCUUCAAAUCAGUAUCAAAGCCCUAACAACAUCUUGGUCUACCUCUUUAGAGAAGAUUGGUGUCUACAUAUGAAACUAACACCAAAAUGCUCAUACAGAUACAUGUGGAAGCAGAUGUGACACACCUUUCCUGUCAUCAAAACAAUGUGAAAGUCCCCCUCUUUUCCAAUAAGCAGUAUCUGUUAUUUUCAGACAUAUCAAUAAACAUAUAAACUGUAUUAUUCAUCUUCAGAAACAAAAAUAAGGGAUUUCAAGUAGUAUCAGAUGAAGAGUAGCAGAAAAAGAGCUCUACUGUUUUGGAGAUAUGAAAUUGAUUAAAAGACCUGUGUGACAACUAGUUUUAGGAAGCAUGCAUGGGUGAGGGUAGGUUGUAUAGUCAAAAAAAGGAUUUCACUGCAGAUUUGAUAACAUCGUGUAGCCAGACAGCCCCCUGUUGGCUGUAUUGUUGUGGAGGUUCCAGAAGUGAAUUGUGCUUGAAUUCAGCAAUUCAUUACACUCAAAAAGCUCUUUUUUCAUUCCCAUAUCACAAACAGGGGAAAACAAACUGUGUUUGUAAAAAUUAGCUUUGAAUCAAGUUUUAUCUCUCUUGUGUAGGAGAUAAAUGUCAAAGCUUGAUUAAAUAGAGUUUCUGCAUUCAGUUUCUUAAUGUCUUUAUAGAAGCUUAUUUUAAAGAGCUGCAACGAAAGUGUAGAACAGUAGUUUGUCCUUGUGAUCAAACUUAAGACUAGCAUACUGUAAUGUCACAUUUGCAUUCUGGCUAAUGCAAAGUAUUUAGAUAAACUUCUGUCAAUAACGCAAGUAAUAGAUUUUAAAACAUAAAAGUUGUAAGUUAGCAGGGAGCUAGGCAGACAUAGGCUCCAGCCUUAUUUAAUGAGUGGGACUCUCACGCAUGUCUCUGAGAGCUUCUGCUAUUUAACAAAGUACAGUUUUACCAAGAAGCUUCUGUAUUUUUAAUUUGUUUGCUUUGCUUUAAUCUCUUCUUUUGUAAGUGGCUUAAAUUGCUACCAGUGCAGCUGGCUGCUUACUUCCAGUCUGUGUUAAGACACCAAAAACCUUGUUCUUCAAAAGAAAUAGGUGUCUAAAGUAUUGGAAAAUUGAAGGACACUUCUUAGGUGUUUUUACUUUUUUUUUUAAGUGUUUGUGAAGGGAACCUAAAAUCUGCCUUGUGAUAGUCCUGUAUAUCCAUGUGGUGAUGGAGUGCUGUAGAUACUGCAUGAAUGUAUGCAAGCACUUAUUUUCUAGAAUCUGAUAAUGCAUCUGUGCUUAAAGGGUUGAAAUAGGUGACCCAAGGAAACAUUCCAGGAAGAACUCUGCUUCGGAGGCACAGGAUUUUCUGCUCUGAGAUAAACAAUACAGACGUGAUCUCUCUGCACCAGGUAUGGCCUAGGUUAUCAAAGCUCACGUUCUUCUGAAGAAUUAGAUUUGUGCCUAAAACUCCACAGCUUCAACAGUAGCAGAGGAAUUUAUGUGAGAAUUAGCCUUCUGCCACAACACAGAACAGAAGAGUAGCAGGAUGCUGAGAAAGCCAAAGUGCUUGAGACCUCUUUCUUUCUCCCCUUCCCCUUCUGUACACAUUAAAAGACUGAUUGUCAUCAGAUAUUGUAUAACAUUUGGCAAAAACAGCAGAGGGUAAGAAUACAUACUGUGGUUAAAGAGUGAGAAUGGGAAAGGCAGGGACAGACCAAAAAGCUGCUUAAAAAUUAUAACCUACAAAAUUCCAUCAGAAGAAGUUAAAAAACUGGCUGAAGCAGUGUCAAGGUGAGGGAACUCUCCCAAGAAACAGAAAACCUGAGUUGCAUGUUCUUCAGAAGCCCAAGGGGAUUCAAGUUCACAUCUCCUGCUUCUGAAAAAGUGCCCAGUGGAAGCUGCCCACAGAUGUUCCCCAUCUUUCUUGUUAAAUCAAGGAUAUGUGCAAAACAGAAUAGAAAUCACAGAACGGUUUUGUUCAAAGGUUGUUGGCAGUGAUAACUAUUACUGUUAGCAGAUGAAAGCAAGCUGCAGGUAGGAUUUCAAAGGGUAGUGGAAUUUGCUUUUAUUGGACUAACUGUGCGGUUCCUUGCAAGUUCUUUUCCUAAGAUGUUUCCUGAAGUAACAGUAAAAUGAGCAUAAAAUAAAUGCAAGUACCUGUUAAAGCUCACUAAAGGAAUACCUUAUGUUUCCAGUAGAUGAACACCAAGAUAACUGAAUAUUUGUGAAUUGCAUUACAGACCUCUAUUAUGCCAAAAUUCUGGUUUUUAUUGCUAAAGAGAGUGCCAGUAAAGGUGACUUUAAACUGCUUUAUGCUCCUAUUUUCUCUAAAGCUGCUGAAAAAGGAAAGCAGGGAGGAACUAGCAGAGUUAAAGAAGUUCAUGGCUGUUCAACAACCAGCAAAAGGGAUUCACAUCUUCCUUCCUUCACUCUUUUUGCCUUUAUUUUUUUUGUUUUGUUUUAGGGUUGAGGAGGGGUGUUUGUUUGUGGUGGUUUUUGUCUGUUUGUGGGGGUUGGUUUAUUUUUCAGGAAGGUUUACAAUCUCCCUUCCAAGUCAGUGGAAUUAAUAAGAGCCUGUUCUGAGUGGAAGAAGAUUUAAAUAACUUAACCACAUGAGAAAAAUUACUCUUUUCCUCAUCUGAGGAAUGGUUACUUCAUUUCCAAAUUAGGAUUAAACUUUAGGACUUCUUCAAGGCUCUUGCAGUAUUUGUAACUUUUAUUUUGUUGAAGCAGUUCUAGUAGCUUAGGACAUAAUGGUUACUUGCAGAGCGUGAUAUUGAGAUCCCAUUAUUUUAUGCUUAUUCAGACAUAAAGUAAGUAGCCUGAGAAAGGCACUAUGUUAUGCUAUGAAAGUAUCCUCAGGCAGUUACCUCUAAAACUGCACCUUUUUCUCUUUAGUUAUGAGCGGUUGUCCAGAGCAGUGGAUAUUUUUAGUGGUAAUUGACAAAUUCUUAACUGUAUCUUUAUUUUUUCACAUUUAUUUCAGAGUUCCUUUAAAAAUAGCAUCUGGUCCUGGUGAUUUGUAGUGUUUGAGUUUCUCAGGCUGCCAACAGGCUCUUCCUUUGAGACAUCUAGGCCUGGUGAAACUACUCUGAUUCCCCAUAAAGCAUGUCCUCAGGAUAGGAAUUUCUCUGUCACCCUCUAUAUUAAAGCCAAAUAAUUUAUAUGGAGCUUCUUUUCUUUUGCCAAUUUCUUUCAUCCUCCCCUUGGUACUACAUAGACAAAACAAAAAAACCUUCCUGGAUUCAAAUACAUUUUAAGAAUACUUGGAAUUCUUCUGUGUGUGUGUGUUUGUGCAUUUGUACACAGGCACCACGUGCCAUUGUUGCCCCUGCAUCUGGUAUUCUCGUAGGGGAGGACGUUGUUCAGCAGCACCUGUGGCAGCAAUAACCACGUGUCAUUGUGCAAGAGCAGCAUUGGUCCUGCCGAACUCUUGUUCUAGCCUGGUGGCUACCAGCAGAGUUUUUCAUUAGCCAAUGAUAUACCGGGUAGUCUUUCAUUAUUCACUAAUUUAUACUUAUAUUAACAUUUAAAUAGCUGUUAAAAUUAGGUUUAGUUUUAGAAAUUGUAGUGUUUCUGUCGUUUUUCUGUUGGAGAAACAGCUUUAGCCUAGGGAGAGAAUUCUGUGUUGGUGCAUACCCUAUGAAUGAGCACAACCUCUCUAGCAUUCACUUGCUGUGUAAUGCAGUGGUGUUUAUUAAAGGCUACCUGCAUAAAAUGCAUUUUACUUGGCUUAAUGAGCAUCACAUGAAUUUUGUAAGAAGGCUGAGCAAGUAAAACAUCUUGCCUCAAGAUGUCACGGAUGAUACAGGCACCUGGCCUCUGGUUCUAGUUUGCCUGAGCAGAAACACUGAGAAAGACCAGAACUCUUUUGCUGUUCCCACUUCUUGCUCUAGGCUGUCAGCAAGUCUCCUAACAUGGCUAGACCUUGAUUAGAGAGUGACAAGGAACAGAACAUUUGCAAAACAGAUCCUGAUUUUCUCCUACAUAAAUUCUUCUGAAGUUAAGCAUAGCUCAAACCUGGGAACAGCAGACUGUCCAAUGAUGCAGAGUUGUAAUUACCUCAGAUAUUUCAUGGUGUGUGGUCUGCAGUUCUUGAAUCCCUCAGCAGCCUUGAUGCUAGAGCAGAAAUUAUGAGUAACAAUGACACCAAAAUUAAUUUUGAUAAGGUCUAAUCACCUUUGAAUCCUUCAGCUGAAAGCAGACAGCAAUCCUGCACUUCUCUGUCGAGUCAGGCUCAGAAUCACCCCUCAUACACCUCCGCGGAUGUCCAGCCUUCAGUGUUGAUUCAACUGUUCUCUAUUCUGCUGCUACUGAGAGAUCAUUUUCUAUAAAUUUACAUCAUCCUAUGGCAUUAGUUCCACAGAAAAUAUUCCUGUGCUCAGUCAGACCCAGAAGAGGACUGAAAGGUUCUUCUGUAAGGUUCUCUUUAGCUGGACAUUCUAUGCUAGGUGGAGAGGUCAGGUGUGGUUCACACAGGGCAGCUUAUAGAGAUGGAACUUUCUGCAUUUUUCAGCAUCUCUAUAUUCUCAUUAACAUCUCUUAAAGGCCAAGGGUCCUUGAGGUACCAUCUAGACCCUCAACUUCAGCCUUUGAAGAAAGCCUAUUGCUGCUAUGUCACCAACUGUCCAAGUAGCAUCCGUGUCCACAUUUCGUUCUCUGUUUCUCCCUCUACAAGGCAGCUCCUGACUCAUUACCUGCAUCCAAUGAGUACAAAGCCUUCAAAGAUCCAAUUGGCAGGACACUUUUACCAAAUACCAAAAGCAUUACUAAAUGCCAUCAGACUGGAACGUUGUCUCAGGACAGCCUUCUCUGGAAGGAAAGCUGUCUCCAAUUACAGCAAAAUUGACACUUGGAGCAAAAAGAAGACAAAGUUUUGUCUCUGCUGCAGAAAGAGUUGUCUUCCCAAAAUGAGGGUCCUAGACCACAAAGCUGUACAAGCUAAAUAGGGUAUUAUUAAUUCGUAUUUGUAAGUACUAAUUUAAAAUGGUAGGAAUUGUCACGGAUGUCUAGGGAGGAAUUUACGUAUGAUGCAGCAGAGACCAUUUAUAGCAAUAACAACUUUUCCAGAGACAGAUAUCUUUAUAGACAACUUCUUUUUGGAUUUUCUGAAGUACGAGCAGCUAUUCAAUGCUUUGCAAUCUGUUCGUAUAGACAAGGUUGUGCACGCUCCUCUCAGGUCCACAAGAGAGAAAACCCCAGUUCACAAGCACAGGUGUUAUGGAGCAUAGGGUUUCCAACCAUAUAGACCUAUGUGCCCUUCAGCAAAGCAGCCCAAAACUUAGGAAAAAAAGAACAAACCCUUGUGUGUAGCAGUUCACCUGCUUCUUUCAUCAAUGUGGCAGUGUCUGACCAUUUAAUCUGGAUGUUCCAUCUUUUCCUUUCAACCACUGAAGUGAGUUUCUAACAGGUCAGUGCCUACCAGCUGCUGCAGAGACAGGCUUGUGUAUUUUAUUUUAGUCACCCAUUGACUUUGUUUUGUCCCAGGGCAUUUUAAUCAUUAGUAACAUCACUUAUUUUCCUAUGGAAAAGAAAUUCCACUUUAUCUUUUAAGAGAGGGGGGAAAGGUGGUAAUGACUCAAUUCCAGUACAGUGUUCACUUUGCCUGUCCCGUAUCUCAAGAGACAUGAAAACACACAUCUGAAAGAUCAGAUAGAGAGUCAUGUUGUCAGCUAGCAGUCUUUCAUCACCAGGUUACAAUGCUCUGCUCAGAGUUUUCAGAAUAGUUCUUUCCAUGUUGUUAUCCACCCAGCCUGAAGGCACUGUGUGGUAUUUGCAUCAGAAGUCCUCACCUCCAGUAAAGGGUCUGUGUGCUUGUCACCACUUAUUUCAGAUGAACAGAAAUCCACAUCUUCAUGUCCUGGAUGCUUCAGAUGUGAACUCCUGUGAACUGUCAUUAGAUCCUCCACUCAUGGCUGUAUCUUGGCACUGAAAGUAGACAAGAAGUCAGCAUAGAUGCCUCCAAAGAACAUAGGUGAUGAAAACCAUAGCAGACUGAUGUUCCUUUAGUCUGGUACAAUUUCAUGUGAUACUCAGCUUUUCUGUUGAAUCUCCAAGCCUACCUCAGGGGUUCAGUGAGAGCAUGUGUUGGGUUUUCAAUAGCUAAGCACAAGAGACUGCCACAGCACAGCUUGUAGGGGAAGCUAUAACCAACAGAGCGGCUGGUUAGUGCAUUUUCCAGCCAAGGUUCUGUAGAGAAUAUCUGAAAUGAAAGAUGAGUCUAGCAAAAAUAUGAUCUUUUGCCCAUCCAUUUCCACGUGUAUCUGUAGAGAUCUUGGGACUGCUUAUGGAUCGCACUAUGACACUUCAAUUGUCAAAGAAAACUCUUAUUGAAUAACAGCAGAAAACAGCAUUAGCCCAACCAAAGCUGGGAGAAGAAUCUCUGUUACAUCAGGGCUACAUCCAUCAUCCUUCUGACCAGAAAGAAGUCACCAAUUAUUGAACCAUUGCGUUAGAAUGGAAACUGACCAGAACUGGAGGAAGGAUUCUUGGAAAAAUUUACACAUCAGAUCACACUUCAGGGGGUUAUUUCAGCAGAAACUACACCGUGGUCUAGAAAACCGACAUUCCUUUUUUUUUUUUUUUUUAAAUAGAAGUCAGAUUUAUUUGUAUUUUAUGUGAUGGCUGGUGAUUCACAUCCCACCCACCCAUUUGAGAAUAUUCCGGGCUCCAGGCAUAUCUUCAGCCAGUUCCAGACUAUUCAAAUUGCUGUUGGUCCAUCCAUUUACUCAUCACAACAAGGCCUUCUGUGACUAAUUAUGGCCUGACUGCAGCAGGAGAGGCAGCUUCAAAGAAUGGGAGUCUUCAGACACACUAACAGUACCCUUGGUUCCCAAAUUCUUUAUUUAUGUGGAUUACACUGAGUUGACAGAUUUAACUGGGCUGAUGAAGAUAUGGUCAAAGAAGCAGAGUCACUCCCUUCCCUUUUAUUGUUUUCUGAAGACGUAAGAGUCAUACACAUCUGUCACUGGAGAGAGGAAGUUCUCCAUCACUGGACUUGAUUUGGGCUUUUGUACGCUGUUUCAGUAGCAUCUGGGAAUAGAUCAAUAUAAUAUUUGGUAGGGAGUUGUAUUUCCUCGUGAUGCACUGUAAAUCUUUUAUUGUAGAUACUCCCACUGUUUAUUGUUGAAAAUCAAUAAAAAUAAACCUUGUAAAGCUAAAACAUGGCAAUUGUUCUACAGAAAACAGAGAGAAGGCAUAAGAGGCAGAGUCUCCCUGCCCCUCUUGGAUACCUCCCAGCUUGUUUCUCUAUGAAUAUUCAGUAACACUUUCCAACAAUUUGGGAACAAAUUAAGAAAAACAAAAAUCAAAAUUAUGAACGCUUCAUUGUGAUCUCAAACAGGAUUUCUGAUCCACUUUGGUGGCUGUUACUGUCACCCAGGCUGUGUGUUGGACAUACCUUUGGCUUUUCACUUCGAGGGACAGACAAAAGCACAUCAGCCUUGCUCAGCUCAGAUUAUACAAGCUAUAUUUGAACACUGGAAAUGUGGAAACUAACCAAAAUAGGUAAAAAGUGGGAACAGCCCAAUGUGGAGAAAAGCUCCUCCGAAGUCAGAAGCAGAAGUUACUACCCCUGUUUACAAGCCUGUAGAAGCAGGGCAAGAUGCAAUUACUCAGCAUCAUUCUUUUGCCCUAUAGCUAUUCAUUCCUCAUAUACUUCAUCUUAGGGUGGAACCUCCUACUAUUUUCAUGAGAUUCAACUACGCAUGGAAGUGAAAACCAGUCUGGAAUUAUUUAGUAAAGGGAAAAACUUCCCAGUACUAAGACGAGCACUAAGAGAUCAGUCUUUUUUUAGUCUAAGCAUAGUAUAAACUGCAAUAGCUUUAUUUAAACUUCCGGUCUUAAUCAGUUAUACAGUCUUAGGAGCACCAGCGGUAGAACCUGUAAGAAUACAGUGACUUCACUUCCUAAAAUAACAAAAACCCUGCUGAAUUGUCAUAUUGAAAUCAAUACUUGAAGAACAGGACGGUGUUUCACGUCAGACUCUCUCCUCCCUGGUAUCAGCAGAUUCCUGAACAGUUCAGGUGGUAAAUAAAUGACAUGUCACCAAAAGACAUCAGAAGGACAUAAGAGAAUUUCCCAGUAUGUGAAGAAGCAGACAAAAAGUUACUUAAAAGCACAAAAAUAUAAUCAAAUACUAUGAAAGGACAUCAACACGGUGCAAGAACGGUGGAAUAAAAAAAGUGUGGUGUCUUUGUCCUGUCGGGAUAUCCAACAGGCACUAGAGGACUGUAUUGAUAAAGCCCUUGAUAGUCUUAAAUAUAGAAAUACAGGAUUAAAUCCAACUAUGAAAGAGGGAAAAGUGACUAAAAUAAGAAAGAAAAUGUAAGACAAAUGAGGUGGUGUCUUGCUGAAUCAUCUACCUUUUGCAAAUCCAGCAAGCUCUCUUUUUAAACUAUCUACUUCUGCCAUGUAAACUUCAGCCUGUGUAGGAUGGAAUGAUGGUGUUCUUACCUUUUAGCUUCCUUCCCCUCUAGUGAAUUUACUGUUCUGGUGGUCCUCUUGUGUGUCAGAGCAGAAGAGAGCUCACUGAGGGCUGUAAGUGAGUACUACGGCCAUCAACUCCAAGCAUCUCAAGCAGCGGAACAGUUUGCACAUUUUUACUGAAUCCAAGGCAGAGUAAAAAGGCAAAUAUAGCAGUAACUUUACUGAAAUCAGCAAAUUUUGCACCUUCCCAGGAAAAAGGAAUACUCUUGAGAAAUUUGGCAACAAUUUGAAGAAGUAGAUCAUGUCAGGGAUCACAAAUUCCAACCUCAUUGGAAAAAAUGUCUAAAUGUUUCAAAUCCCAUUCCUAUUUAAUCAAAAAUAGAGCUAGACAGGAGUGAGCAAAGCUCCUGGUUCUGUUGAAUGUAAAAGCAUGACCAAGUCACGUACAACAUACUUCUGGUCCAGCAGAGAUUGUGUUAUGAGAUACUAGAGGGAGAUACCAGAGUGAGAUACCUGCCAAGAUUUGGGUGAAAGUACUCAGUUUAAUGCAUCAUCUGGUUUUGACCAGGCGGUUUUUAAAAUGACUCAGACUCAUAGCUAGUCUGGGCUCCCAUCAACCACAUUCACUUCUAUGUGCACAGCUGUUCUCUUAGAAUGAAUCACAGAAUGUCCUGAGACCCACAAGGAUCAUCGAGUCCAACUCCUGUCCCUGCACAGGACAACCCCACAGUUCACACCAUGUGUCUGAGGGUGUUGUUCAGUCUCUUCUUGAACACUGUCAGGCUUGGGGCUGUGACACCUCCCUGGGGAGCCUGUUCCAGUGCUCCACCACCCUCUGGGGGAAGAACCUUUUCCUCAUGUCCAACCUGAACCUCCCCUGGCACAUCUUCCUGCCAUUCCCUCGGGUUCUGUCAUUGGUCACUAAAGAGAAGAGAUCAGUGCCUGCCCCUCCUCCUCCCUUUGUGAGGAAGCUGUAGCCACCGUGAGGUCUCCCCUCAGUUUCCUCCAGGCUGAACAAACCAAGUGACUUUAGCAGCUCCUCAUAUGGGUUCCCCUCCAAACCCUUCACCAACUUCAUAGCCCUCUUCUGGACACUCUAGCAGCCUAAUAUCUUUUUUAUCCCAGUGGCACCCAGAACCGCACACAGUGCUCCAGUGAGGCCACGCCAGUGCAGAGCAGAGCGGGAAAUGCACCAGCGUCACCCACUCUGCUGCUGACGCACCACAGGCUGCUCCCUGCUGCAUCCCUGCUGGUUCAGGGCCUCAGAAGGGCAGGUGCAGAAAAAAUAUUGGCCACUACUUCCAAAUAACUGCCUGGGUGCCUGCGCAAUACGCAUGCUGCACAUGCUGCAAAGAGGGCACCGAAAAAUCACAAUCCUGGUUCAGCAACACUUUACUGUAGCCUAAAUAAUCUUGCAAGGUGGAGGGCAGAAGCCACCCAGGCCAGCUGAAGACCGUUCUAGUAAAUUGAUGCUACUUUUAUAUGCAUUUGUCUGCAAACGGACAUGCUUUCACCCCUUCCUCUGUAAUUACUGACAUAUAAUUGUAGCUUGAAGAUACACCUGGAGCUCUGCCAUCACUGCUUCCACUUUUUGUACAACAAAAUCCAGCAAGGUGCUUUUCUUUGACAAACCAGCUUAAUAUCAAAUUAUCUUAAAUUAAAAGCCAUGGUUAUCCUACCAGUCUCAGUCAGACACUUUCACCAAAUUUCUAUCAGGUUAUUGACACAGAUACACAUACUCGCAAACUUAUUUAAGCAACUAUCAGUUAAAAAAUAAAAACACACCCAAAAGCAUUGUAUAAGAGCCUCAUCACAUUUCCUGCAGGUGCACAAAUGACUAAAGGUGGCACUUCCCAGUUCAGCGCUAAGUGAGUGCAAACGCCAGAACACUGGGAAUCCAAACUGGCUGAUGCUUGUGUGCUUCGCUUCAAAAAGCUGCAUAGCCUCACAGUACGUUGUCACACAAGGUCCAGGGGCUGCUACAGCAAGGAAAAUAAAUUCACUACUUCUGCGGUAGAUGGAGUAGCCUAAUUUUGUUACUACAAGGCGUUCUGAAACUACUCUCAGUUUACACUGCUGCUGUCAGCGAUUGUUUAAGCACUGAAGAGCAGCUUUAAUGCCUUUGGAGAGGACAGAGGGGUAUUCUGCAAGAGACAGUAACACCGUUAUGUCACAAACACUGGUGGUGGCUUCACAAAGCCACUUUCUCAUGUCUGGAGCCACACAGCGAUCUGACGUGGGAUGUUUGCACUACACCCCUUUCAGCUGACGGCAUCAGUGUGUGUGUAUCUUUUGAAAGGAGAAGCAAUAUUCAAUCGUUGAGGUCUGCAUUCCUCCUCCAGUCACUUCUCCACACCACUGGGACUACAGUUGUGUCAAGUUUUUAUUUCUUCAUGUAUUAUCAUGUAUUUAAAAUCUACUUACAGACUAGCAUAGAACAUAAAAAUUAUUUUCUAGAAGGAAUGGCUGAUUUUUGCGAGUACUGAUAAAAAUUUUAGCCCCAAAGAAAAACAAAAACCCUUGAAAAUGCUGGACUCUGGUCCACAAAACCAGGAUAGAAUCUCUGACUAAAUAAGAGUUGAAGAAGGUGGAGCAGUAACUGGCAAGAAAGCCAGGGUUUUUUUUCUCAAUAGUUGAAAACAAAAAGUAUUUGUUUGUCACUUCCCUCAGUAGUUGCAGUUUCAAACAACCCAGCAAAAACGGCCACUAGUGCUGCCAAAGCUCUCUUCCACCUUUGAAAGACGAAAGCACAAAGUUUUAUUUCCCUUUCUGCACUUGGCUUUUCUUUGCCUGUGCAACCCUGGAGCUCCCCGGGGUUUGGUUCACCGUCACUGUAAGGCACGCUGGCCUCUGCAUCCUUUCCAAACUGUAGCAUUCGACUUUAUCUUCACUGGAGACCAUCCUGGUACUUACAAGGUGAAAUCCAUUUUUGAAUAAAGUGUCAAGCAGCAAGCCCAGCACAUUAGUACCGUUAAUCAGCUUUCUGUCAUCAGGCUUUAUGGAAACAUACCUGAAAUAAGAAAAAAGCAGUUACAACACGCUUUAAUUAUUUCUUAAAGAAUGGAAUCAGAUUAUUUUUUUUUUAAACAAACCAGGUCCUUGGAGGAUGCAAGUCAGCACAAUUGCACAGGUUUACAGCAAACAAGGUUCUGGGGUUUUUUUCCCUCCUUUAAGGACACUUUAACUCUUUCACUUGUUAUAAGAACAGUAAUUCCCAGCUUGUCCAUUUAUGCAUUAGAGGAAACACCUCUCAGCAUCUCAAUAAAACCUGCUUAAGAAAUA